UUUUUUAUUUUUGUUUUUAGAAGGAGAAUGAAUUUGAUGACAAACUCCUUGUCAAUCUUAUCCAAACCACGAUCGAACAGAACUCCUUGUCAAUCUUAUCCAAACCGUGUUCCACCUCAAAAACAUGUGUAGGACUUAAGGCAGCAACUGGCAAGCAUGACUGAUAGGGCCAAGUGCCCUUGUCUCUACAAUCCAUUAAGUUAACCAAGGGCAGUGAACCAUCAUUCUUUUCAAAAGCUUCAUUCCGUGUUGAAAAUGUGAGACUGAAGCAUGGUGCCCCCAAAAAUAACGAUCUAUUUACUAGCAGCAUGCCUGGACCCAUUAAAAAUACUCUACUUUAGGAAUAGAAAAAAUUACAUCUUUAUCCAAUAAUUUUAUAACAAUUCAGACGUUUCAGUCUAUAAAUAAUUGUACAUAGUUGCCAACGUUUAGCUAGUUUCAAAUGAAUAGCCUAGGUUCAUGCACCAGUUUGGCUGGUGGAGGAAAGGGAUUCGAGACAUUGAACCCUCUUUUUAGUGUGCCAAAUAUUCCACAAAAAUCACUACCUUCUCUUUGUGUUUGUUCACUUUUAGUUUAUAUUUAAUAAAUCUAUGUUUUCGAGUAGAGGUUGGGUUCAGGUGCGACCCACGUCACCUCUCGGACGGUCUUGAAAAAGGAGACCGGACCACGUAAUUUCAAAUGUAGUGACCAUCUCACUUUUACCUCCAUCCUUGAAGAUGGUUUCCCAAAUCAAUAUUAAUCUUUUGUUUACGACAAUAUCGAUCACUUUAUGUCUAUAUCGUUGUUAAUUUACCUUUUUUUUUUAGCCACAUUAUUUGAAAAUUGAUGCAAACUUUACCAACAUCUUGGUACCAUUUUAAAAUAUUAGAGUUAUUUGAUUAAAAAAAUAAAAUAAUCUCGAUAACUUGUUUAUAAAAUAAAUAUCUUUUAACAUUUAGACUAUUCUCACGCAUGCUUUAAAAUUGUAAAGAUAUUCAUAAAGUGGAACUUUAGACUUAAUCAAUAUCGAUCACUUUAUGUCUCUAUUGUUGUUAUAUUUUUUUUUUACAACAUUAUUUGAAAAUUGAUGCAAACUUUACCAACAUCCUAAUACCAUUUUAAAAUAUUAGAGUUAUUUGAUUAAAAAAAUAAAAUAAUCCCGACAACUUGUUUAUAAAAUAAAUAUCUUUUAAUAUUUAGACUAUUUUCACCAUGCUUUAAAAUCAUAAAGAUAUUUAUAUUCAUAAAGUGGAACUUUAGACUUAAACAUGAUAAUAGUUUUUUUACAAUAUUAUAAUUAUUUUAUCGUUUUAAUUAAGCCCUUUAUCAUACAUAUAAAUGUAAAUUAAUGCUAAAUUUUUAAAGCAACGUAUAACCUUUUACAUCUUUUUUUAAGAUGGUGCGAAAAUCCUAUGAAAAAUAAUAAAAGUCGAUGCAUAAGAAGAUUGUUUUGAUAAUUCAAUAGAAAAAUUCUUUUAAAAUGAUAUUAAAAAAUACCCAUAGAGCCUUUAUUAAAAAAAUCAAUUAUUUUCAUAAUAAAAAUUAUAAUUUUUUAUUAUGUAUUAUUAUUUUUAAGUAUCUUUAUUACAAAUACUUUUUUUGAGUUUAUGAGAGGAAUCAACAGGUUGGUACAAGCUUAGGCGUCCUCGUACAUGUUCCCGCUGUGCAAGGUUUUUGUCUUGUUUCGAGCUAGUCGGAAUUUACGUGUUUGAUAACGUUUUGUCCUAUUUUUGUAACGCUUUAAAGGGCGGCCCACCGUUGGAACAGUUCAAGCCAUCCAAAUCAGCCCGGAGGGUUAUGGCGACGUGGCAUGACGCCUACCACCUUAGUUCACAUGAACCCUAUGAUCGUACUACCCUCACAUGACAUCUGUGAUUCUUCACCUCCAAACCCUCUUUAACUUGGUAAUGUAUUCAAAGCUUCAUCAAAUCAUAGCGAUUAGCGACCCUCUUCCACCCUAAUUUUAUAAUAAAAAAUAAAUCUUAGUGGACAUUAAAGUAGUAUUUUGUGGGGGGAAAGAAAAACUCUAUGGGCGUAUCCACUAAAUACGAGCCAAGUAUAAGAGUUAUCACCAUGGAAUCAAAUUAUGAAGCAUUGACAUUUUAAUUGUAUUCAGAUUUGAGGAGGGCACCGCGGCACCAGCUGGCCCAGUGUAGUCUGCUAGCCUACCCGCCAUAAUGACCAAAUUAAUAAAGUAAAAAGGAUUACAGGGAUAUUCCCAACUUUAUUCUGGGUCUGAGCUGGAACUUGGGAGUUAUCACGAUCAACGGGAAAGAUGGUGGGUAGGGGACGAGGAUUGAGGGCUCCAUAUUCACAUCAGUGAAAAACGAAAUGUAUUGAGACAAGUCUUCUAAGGAUUUUCUAGCGUAUUAUAUGGUUUAAAUGAUUAUAAAUCUGUAGUUACUGGUAAAGAGUAGAGAGUGAAGACGAAAGACGUUGAGUGAAAAGGAAGGAGGAGAGGGGAUGGGGCCAUCUUACCGUGUCGGGGAGGAUCCAUAAAAGGACUACGUUCCCUGAAUCUGUAGGCAUCAUGCCUCGCCUAACGGGUUAGUCAAAAUACAGUGAUGUGUGUGAGUUGGGGGCCUCACUCCUCAUUUCUUUCCUUCUUUUCACCCCCACCCCCACUUUUUUUUUUUUUUUUUCGAAUUUUUCUUUGUCCUUUUCUCUCACUUGCGCACGCGGGAGAAGGACCACAAACUAGACAAUUCCUCUGCUCACGUGACCCCGAGUUUUUAAAUAUUUGCCUAUUUGGAAAAUAGUCAUGAAUCAUGAUCGUUAACAAACAAUCUUCACUUUAUUUAUUUAAGAUCUAUUUUUUGGAGCUCUAGUUUAGUUUAUUAUUAUUAUUAUUAUUAUUAUUAUUAUUAUUAUUAUUAUUUAGUAACUCCUCUUAUAUUAAUGAAAAAGAGAGGAGGAAUCCAAACUUGUUUAUUCUUCCUCUUUUAAGGUGUUUGUUUUUUUUAUUUUAUUUUUAUGCUUCAUAUGUCUUCAAUUUCUUAGCAUUUGUCUUAUAUUUCUUCUUAUCCGAUUCAUUAUUGCAUCCUUGGUCAAUCUUUCACGAGGAGUGCCUACUUUUUUCCUUUUUAUUAUUUAAUUCACUUUAUCUUUAUAUUUUCCUUUUACACUUUAUUUCCAAUUCAAAACGUGUCAAAAAAAAAAAUUGGUAACAAAAAAAAAAAAAAAAAUCAAUUGUAAUGAUUCUUAUAUAAUUUUAUUUAAUUUUUAUUAAACAAUAAAGAAAUUAAAAAUAUAUAAAUUUUUAAAUAAUUAUUAUAGUCUUUCAUUUUUGUGUAUAAUUUCUUUUGCAAGAAAUAGUGUAGGCUUUCCACGGUCUAAAGGAAAUGGAAUAUCAAAUGAGAAGGUAAUAAUAAUAAAGUGAGUUAUAGAUACUAAUCAAACUAAUCCACUAAUGAAUUAUUUAUUUUUAUUUCACAUGGACAAAUCCUAAAAGUUGGAGUUCUAAUUUACUUUUAUGUUAAGCUUUUUUAAGUAAAAAUCUUUUAUUAUUAUAAUUUAUAGACAAAAAGAAACCCAUUAAUGUGAUGGAUAAAAAAUUUCAAUUUAAAAAAAAAAAAAUUAAAGUUGCUAAAUUUUUGUAUUUAUUAUUUCAAACUCAUUUAAAUAAUUUAAAAAUAUGUCUUCAAUUAAUUUUAAUGAAACAAAGCAUGAUUUUUUUUUAAUUUUUUUUUCUUUACCAAAUAAAGCAUUAUUAUAAUACGUUGAUUAAAUUUUCAUCAUGUCUCUCAAGAUUUGGAUUAAAUAUACUUAGUUGUCAUAAAUUUGAAAUUUUAUUUAAUGUAUUUUUUAUUUUAAAUUAAAAAGAUGAAUGCAAAUAAAAAAAAUAUGUAUAUUUUAUAAAAUUUUAAAUUAAACGAAGGAUACGUGUAUUUAACCAAGGUGAAUGAAAUUAAUCCAAAUACUUUUUGGUAACUUGCAAAAUAUCUUGACGAAAUCAUUAUGGCAGGCAUCGUACAAGCUCAACCCUUGUCGCCUUGCUAGAAAUAGAGAAACAAAAAGACCCCCAAAUUGGGUUGCAUCCUAAAUAUGAAGAAGUGGUAACAAAGGAAGAAAAAAUGCUGUGUUAUUGAAUAGUUAAUACAUUGAACAUGAUAUGUUACAUAGAGAGCCAGAUUAAUCCUAGUGGAAUUCCACUGUCACGAUGGUAACCUAGGGUUAUGUUUGGUUAUUGAAAAUACCAAGAAAAGAAAAAAAAAUAUAAAGGAAAAUAAUUUUUUCAUUUUUGAUUGUCUUAUAAAAGAUAUAAAAAAAAAACAAAUAUAAUUAAAACUAAUUAAAAAUUUAGGUAUUUUUAAAUUAUUUAAUUUUUAUAUUAAUGAGCGAAAAUAAAUAAAAUAAGUUUAAAAUAACAAAAAAAAUAAUUUACCGAUUUUUAAUCUAUAUUUUAUUUUACUUUUUCUUUGUAUUUUUUUUUUCUUAUAUUUUCCCUCAAAUUUUCUGAAUCAAACAUAGCAAAAAAGGAGCUACCCCUUUCGAAAGAAACUCCCAAGAAUUUCAAAGAAACCUGCUGAGAUAAUGAAUGAGGGAUCACUGUCGGUAAACAGUAUCCAUUCUUUUGGGAGGACUUUCAAACUGAGAAGUUGUUUUCAUGACUUGGAAACAAAAUUUUGAGCUCUAAGGGGGUCUGUAUUUGGGCCCUAAAAUUCAAUCCAUCAAUCUGAAAAAUGCUUAGGAUAAUGAUUUGAUUUAGCCACAAUCACUAAACAAAUUCCAGAGGAAAAUUUCGCUACUCAUAGGUGGCUGAUUCUCAUAAAAAGACAUCGUGGUAGGGUGUCUCAAGUGCAGGCUCACCAUCAACUUGCUGCCCUUUUUAGAUUAUUGUAAAAUGAUUUCACAUGAAGCCCAAUGCAAAACUUUGAAAGAAAAGGUUGGUGGAGACGUGAAGAAUAUGUAACCCAUAGGCCAUAACUAGUACCGAAGAUUAUUGAACAAACAUUCAAGGUUUUUGUAUAGACGAAACUGAAAAGAAUGUGUACCAGACUCAGGCGUUCAGAUCAGAUGAUGCCGUAAUGUGGAUUGUGGAGGAGCAUUGUGCAGACAGAUAAUGAGAUUCUGAAAGCGAGGCCACUGAUGGGCCCUUGGAAGGGGGGCGUGCCUUCAAAAUUAUAUAUAUAUAUAUAUAUAUGUCAUUGAAAAUUGGAAGCAACUUUUCUUCUUAAGUUAUUUUAAUCGAAGAAGAAACAAAAAGUUAAAAACAUACAUUAUUCUUCCUUCUUACGAGGUUUCCGGGUCUAAAUUACUAUGGUCUCUGCAACUGGCGUCGUUUUCUCUCCCCUCUCUCUAUUUUCCCUUUAUUUUUUCACUUUUAGAAAGAAGCAUCCCAUCAAGAAUCUACUACAACCCUACGCUUCCAUUUUGAUUUAGAAAGUUAAAAAUAAGUUUAAGUUAAAAAAAAAUAUUUUCUUAUAUAAUUAUUUAAACUUAUUUCUUUUCCUUUUUAUAUAAAGAAACAAAUAUUUUGCAAAUAAAUAAAUUUCUAAUUAUUUUCAUUAACAUAAUAAUAAUAUUUUUCAUAUGACUUUAAUCACAAUUUUUUUUACCACUUGUCCAAGGCGGUGAGAGGUGAUAAAAUGUAUUAAAAAAACGAUUAAAUUGCAUUAGGUAUAGAAGUUUUGUGCUUCAAUUAUCACUUAUAAAAAUAAAAUAAAAAUAGUCAAAUUUGAGUGUGCAAGUUGGUAUUCGUAUGUAGAAGGAAUUGGGGGAUUUGGGGGUCCUAACAAAUUUGAUAUGAUUGAUGGAAGGAAAUGAUUAUUAUAGGAUAAAGUCCGAAUGAAACGCUGACGAGGGGGGAAAAACAACAGUGGCAAUGCACUAUCCACAGAUCCAUGAUUGAUUUAUGUUAGCAAUAAUGAAUUAUUUUGACUUUGAUAACCUUGGUUAAGAGAAUUUGGUCUUGUUAUUAUCAUUUUUUCAAAAAAAAAAAGUGUAGGUAACUAGGUAGUUGAUUUAUUAGAAUUUAGAAAUGAGGAUCCCCUCCUCCUGCAAGAGCCGUGACAGACAUGCCUGCUUUCUUGCCAGAUUAUACCAAUGUGCCCAAAUAAUCCCCCAUCUAUCAUCUCUGCACCCUGGAACACGUCACUCCCUCCUUUGAGCAAUAAAAUAUCUCUUUUAUUUUCUUUUGAACCACUCUUCUAUUUCUUUGUACCAGACUGGACCCAUUUAAAUUCUUCGCUACGCUGUUCCCAAGGACUACGAGAAUCAAAAUAGCAAAAUUCUUGAAUCAUUUUAAUGGGUUCAGAAACCACAUGUUUCUCUAGAUCAUAAGAGGAAAAUCUUUUUGGAUGGUGUUUGUGUUGUGUUGUGUUCAAUAUUAAAUACUCAAUUAAAUAAGCUAAAUCAAAUAUCACAUGAAAAAUAAUCAAAUUAAAAAUAGGGAGAAUUAUGUUUUGAGGGUAGAUGGACCCCAAAUUAACAAAAGGUUCAUGUAACUCUUCAAAUUGAGCCCAGACCCAAUGAAAAUAUGGAAAUUGAGUUGAAGUAUAUCAUCAUUCAGUAUUUCCAAAAAUGUCCUUUGUUGAUUUUGAGAAAAAAAUUAAUAUUUUUGAAAAAUAUUUUUAUGUAAUUUAAUAUUUUUUUAAAUACUUUUAUUUAAUUUAAUAUUUUUAAAAAAUAAAUUUAUUUAAUUUAAUAUUUUAAAAAAUAUUUAAUUUAAUAUAUUUUUUAAAUACUUUAAUUUAAUUUAAUAUUUUUGAAAAAAAUUUUAAUUUAAUAUUUUUGAAAAAAAAAUUAUUUAAUUUAAUAUUUUUUAAAACUAUUUUUAUUUAAUUUAGUAUUUUUGAAAAAAAAUUAUUUAACUUAAUUUUAUAAAAUAUUUUAUAUGUGUUCUUAAAGGGUAUAUUUGUCCGUUACUAUUUCAUAUCCUUCAACUCAAUUUAAAGAGUUAUAUGGACCUUUUGUUAAUUUGGGGACCCAUCUACCCUCAAAAGAUAAUUCUCCCUUAAAAAUAUAAAUUUAAAUAUGACAUAAUUAUUAAAUAUGUUAGAUCUUGUAUGAGUUUAUAAGAUUUAUGUUUCAAAAUAACAUGUUUAUAAUUCAUCUAUUGAUUUAUAAUCAAAUUUUAAAUAAAUUAAAGUUAUUCAAGUUAAUAAAUAUGAUUUAUGUUAUAAAGACUAACUAAAAAAUAAUUUAUUAAUUAAACGGAUCCUGGUCAAUAAAAAUUUGAUUUAAAUACGAUCAUACUUAAUCAAAACUUAGGUCAAAUUGUAUUGAUAAAUUACAUCAAAACCUUGUUGUGUUCAAUAUUUUAUAUUAAACUAUUUUUUAAUAAAAUUAUUUUUAUAAAUAUAAUAUUACAUCAUUUGGAGAAACAAAAUAGUAUUAUAUUGAUUUUACAUAUAAAGCAACCAGUUAACCCCUCAUUAUUUUGAUCCAUUUCACAUCCAUAUCAUUCUCAUAAUUUUUUUAUAAUAUAUUAACAUGAUGGACGGUAAUUGAGGGUAGAAAAAAAAGAUGAGAAGAAUAAAAUAAUGUGAAUCCUCUCUAAAUGUUACAUCUUCUGACAAAUGAAGUCUAUAGAAAUGUGUAAAAAAAAAAAAAACACUUAAUUGUGAGGUUCACUUGAUUUAGCAAAAAAUUAAUAUUUUAUUUGUUGUGUGAUUUAAAAAUAAUAUUUUAUUUUUAAAAAUAAAAAAUUAUUUUUAAAGUUUUUUAACACUAUUUUACUAUUGUUCUUUGAAAUAAUUUUUAAAAUUAAAAUGAAAUAACUAAUAAUUUUUAGAUAAUAAAUUAAAGUUGUUUUUAUUAGAUUUUAAAAAUAAAAGAAAAAUAUAAAACCAUUUGAUCAAAUUUUUUUAAACUUAUUUUUAAAAGGUUUUUUUUUUUUUUUUUUUUUUUCUAUCCUAAGUUAAAAGAUAAAAAAUAAUUUUUAAAGAUAGGUUACGAGCAAAUGCCACAAACUUUUUUCUUCUCUUUCCCUUGUUCGGAUAGAAGUGAAAAAUAUCCUCCCAUGGAUCGACAUUACGUGAGCCAUCACCAUUCCCCAACUGCAAUUCAACCGCCAAAGCUGAGGUGUCAUUAUUAGUUUGAACAAAAGUCAGCAUUGUCCACGUGGUGACAAGCGGAACUGACCCAACUUGCAAGGCAAAAAAAUAAAUAAAAUAAAAUGAAAAAAUCAGAUCACCAUUAUGACGUCAGUCCAAUUGCUGACCUGGCCGCCGUCCCCCAUUUGACCCACGUGUUCAUUUAACCCAUUCGCCGUAUGCCGUGGCUCCCCACCCAUAUGGCCAUAUCUGCCAUUUAUUUUAUCCGUUGCCUCCAUUCGGUUUUUGGAUUUUACCCAUUCGCCCUCGUCUAUUCCCAUUUCCGUAUUUGCCCACCAAGGAAAUUCAAUUCCCAUGCUUUUGUUUUACAUUCAAAUCCUCCCCCCUCUAUAUAAAGGAGGGAGUAGGGCUUGAAAGUUUCUCAAGCCAACAUGGACUGUUGAGAGUGAAAGACAGAGGAGCCACAAACAAAUAUCACUCACUCAAACCAAAGCCAAAACCAAUACCGAAUUCAAUUCAAAUGACUUCUUUCUCUCUCAUCAAUUCCCUGAAUUCCGAUUCCGAUUUCAAUUUGUUAUCGGAUUCUUUUUCCUGGGAAAACUCCCUACCUUUCAAUGAAAACGACUCCCAGGAGAUGCUCCUCCUGGGCAUGCUGGCCAGCUCCACUCAGGAAACCUCAGAAACAGUUUCUUUGAAUCGAGUGAAGGAGGAAGAAGUGACUUCCCAGGAAAAUCCCGAGAAGGAGAAGUCAUACAGAGGCGUUAGGAGGCGGCCAUGGGGGAAAUUCGCAGCAGAAAUAAGGGACUCGACCAGGCAUGGCAUAAGGGUGUGGCUGGGAACAUUUGACAGUGCAGAGGCAGCUGCUCUGGCCUAUGAUCAAGCUGCUUUUGCGAUGCGGGGCCCUGCGGCAGUCCUCAAUUUCCCGGUGGAAAGAGUGAAGGAAUCGAUGCAGGAGAUCAAGUGCAUCUUGGAGGAGGGGGGCUCACCAGUGGUGGCCCUCAAGAAGAGGCACUCUAUGCGGAGAAAAAGUCCUUGCAAGAAACAUAAAAGUGAAGAGGUGAGGUUAGAAAAUGUGGUAGUGCUGGAGGAUUUGGGUACUGAAUACUUGGAACAGCUCCUCACUUUCUCUGAGACCUCUAGUCCUUGAUCAUCAUCAUCCAUCACCUGGAUAGCUUCUUCUCUUUGCUCUGUUUCUUACUUUUCUCUCUCUCUCUCUCUCUCUCUCUCUUUUUUUUUUAUGUAAUUUUUCUUAAUGUAUUUUUGGAGAUGGCGGGGGUGUAGUGGUGGCAAUUAUCCAUCUAGAAUUUUUCAAAAGAUAUGUUCUUUUGUUUCUUUGUAUAAAGUUGAAAAGUGGGGAUCAAUUGUGAUGGUGCUCUAUGUUCAUCCACCCAAUUUAUAUAAUCAAGGUGAUUAAUGUUUUUUGAUAUCAACAAUUUGUGAAUGACAUAGAGAGAGAGAGAGAGAGAGACCUUAUUUUCUACACUCAUUACGGUGGUUUCCAUUUGGGGAAGGAAAAGGAAAUGGCUAAGAAUGUUACCAAAAGAAGUGGGGUGGCUUUCAUAUGCGUGGUGGCAUACUUGCAUACAAACUUUUCAAUUGUGUUCUGCAUGCCACUCGGGUCAAUUUCAUUUCUUUUACUCCUAGUAGCCUAAUUGGAUUUCCUUUUUCUCAUGAGACAUCAAAUAAAUUUCAUUUUUUUAUAUUUAAAUAGUUAGGUAAGUUUGAUAGUGAGUUAUAUUUUAUACAUUAAUUCAUCUUUUAGAAUGUUGUCUACAAUAUAAACAGUGUAAUUAAUUUCAUCAUUACAGAACAGUCAUCUUAUAAAAUAACAUAAAAAUUAUUGGAUCACUUGUAUGGCACCACUGAUUUGGACUUGGUAUGGCUCUGUUUGGCUUCAUAGAAAAAAUUUGGACCCAAUUUGAAUGUCUUGCAUAAAAAGAGAUACGUCCCACUUUGAAUGAUAUUGAAGAAAAAAAUUUCUGAUGAAGAAUAUAUUGUUGGCAGGGUCAUGCAGGCCAAUAGGGAAACGAUAAAUUCAGAAGAAUGAGUCCAAACCAGUGGGCUUGAAAAUUAAGAAGAGAAUUGCUGUAUAAAACAAUCAUUUCUUAAUCGAGUUCACUUUCUGAAUAAUCGUCACUUUGAGAAUGCAUACUUAGGAAGAUGAUGAUCCUUAAUGGGAAUAAUCAAAGGCAUCAAAAAAUUGUUCUGGAACAAUUCUUGAUUGUCUCCAGUAAAAUUCAAAGUCAAAAGUCAAAAGUCCAGUCGGUCAACACCAAACCAGGCCAGUCCAAAAGACAUUAAUUUGCAAUCUAGAAUCUAUGAUGAGGUGGCGAAAUCAAACCUUGGCUUUUCACCAGGGAAUGGUACUCUGAAUUUGGUCAGUUCACUGUUUCGAGUGAAUAGGGUGUAGUAAUUAGUAAAUCAUAUUUUAGAUUUGUGUCACAAGUUACAAGGGAUAUGGGCUGACGUUCAAUUUUGGCGACAAUUUGUGGGCCCGUAUAUUUGUUGAGAUGUGGAAAUUGGGUGUGUGCUUUUUUCUGCUACCACAUAAAUAUAUUUCUUUGAAUUGAAGAGUGUUUCAGACCAUUUUUUUUCAAGUCACAAAUGGACAACUGAUUGAGAUUGUAUUGGUGAGAGUAGGAGUUUAUUUUGGGCUGGUUGAGCGAAGUUGAAAGUCGAGUUGGACCUAACCCUUGAAUUCAGCAGACUACAGUCCGAUCCUGUAUUUUGGAUUUAGGGAACCUUCUUUCCCAGAAGCUUCGUCUGGGUUUUAAAGUCUAAAUGUGGCUACUCUUAAACAUUGGAGAAAGGAUGAGCGUUCACAAGCAAAUGGGUAAUUGUGGAUGGUUCAAGGACCUGGCCAGCUGGUCUUCAAGUUUGGAUGCCGGUUUGGGCCUGAGAGAGUCUUUGCAAAGUGACUUCACUUCAGCCUAUGAGAUCAAGAUAUCAUGGUGAUGUCCGAUCACUUAGGUUUCAUUUUCACCUCGGAUUACCGUUACCAUGUUCAUGAAUAAAAAUAAAUAAAUAAAUGAAGCCUUAUAGAGAAAUUAAUGAAGUGAGCUAUACAAGCAACUGGGCCAGGAGCCUACAAGGCAGAAAUUCCCUGCCCUAGACUAGGCCGAAUAAAUUAGAUGAAUGAAUUGGGGAAACCUGGGCCAGCCACACAUCCUCCUGAAGGCUGAUGUCGAACUCGCUUACGAGGAAUGGACAUGGGAGAUUGGGCUGGGACCAAAUAACCAAUUGACAGCCCUAUCCUUGUGGCAAGACGUCAGUAAAAUGGUUCAUUCUGAUUUUACGCUGCCAUUCAAUUUAAUUUUAAUUUUUGUUUAAAGCGAUGUACAAAUUGAAUGGUGUCUAGUCACUUAAAGAGUGGUUCAUAAUACACUUAAUUUAAACAAAAAAGAAAUUAUUAGAUAGGGGAUUCUCCAAUAAAAACCACCCCAUCUUGUCAGCAAGUCCGGAAACUUCCUUCACUUAGGGCGUAUUUGUUUUUUUAACUUUAAUAUUAAAGAAAGUUGGUUAAACCUUAUGACACUUUUAUAUUAUUUUAUGAAUUUUUUUUAAUUUUUAUUUUAAUGGAAUUUUAACUUUAAUACAAGUUGGAGUAAUUCUUAUCUUAAAAACAAAUCAAAAUUACUUUAAUUUUAUAUAGAAAUAAACUUACAGUAAAUUUACCAUGAAAAUUUCUAAGUCAAAUACACCAUAAGUGCUAGUAUUUUAUAAUAUUUAGAAACAUGUUAAAUUAUUAUUAUUAUUUUUUAAAAUUAUUAGUUUUCAUAUUAGUUUUAGGGAAACUUGUGCUUUAGGUCUUUUAUUUGCAAAUAAUAUGGUUUUCAAAUCCUAAGAAUAGAAAAUAUGAGAAUCAACUGUUAAUGUGGAAAAUAAUAUCAAUUUUGUGCAAUCUCUAUUGACUCAUUUUUUUGUGCCUAGAUUGCCUUCACCCACUUCCAUGUCAACAACCACAUUAAUAGAUUGUUUUUUUUUUAUAAAACAAAUAAUUAUUAUGUUUAAAAUUUUGGGGAAACUCUCUAUCUCUCUUACUUCUUCACUACAUCCGAGACCCAUCUUCCUUAAACGUUUGCCUCUCAUUUUGCCCUAACCCCAAAUCUCAUAAAUUUCUCAUUUUCUUGCCUCAUUUGAAAUAUGAAGAUGACCGAUUCUCAAACAUCUCUGUCUCUCUCUUCACGUUUUGACCAGUCUAAUUGGAAACCCAUUUUCCAAAAACCUUCUUUCUUUCAUUUUGCCCUAACCCCACUAUCUCCCUCUUCAAGACCUAAUCACCCAAACUCGAUAUCUAUCUUCCCAAAACCUUCAAGCAAACUGAACUAGACCCAUAUCUUCUUUUUUCAUCAUCAAAGGUGAAAUUUUUUUAAGGCUUUUGGAAACCGAAUUGGAGCUUUCCCUUCUUCUGGGAUUAAUCAUUCGCAAGUGAGUUUUCCAUUUAAGGCUUUGUUUGGCUGUUGAAAUCUUGGGAUCAAAGGUCUUUUAUUUUCAGGUUUCUUGUAUUUUGCUUUAUUUUCUUGUAUAUAACAAUAAUCAUUGUAACAUAUGCUAGUAGUUACCCUUGGUGCAACUUUACAUUUCCAAAUACCCUAAAGUCCAAAGCUUUUAAUUCCCUUUUCAAAGCUUUCAACUUUGAAAGCAGACUAAACCAUAAGAACUAUGAAACUUAUAUCUCUAUCACCACUAAUUAAGCAUGUCUAUGAAUCCUUCCACUUUAAGUCACUUAUUCUCAAACCAAGAAGGGCUCCUCUCAUUCUCACCCCACCUCAUCUAAAUGAGGGAAAUGAUCAAUUGCAGCCAUGCUUUGCACCAAAUUAGAGAAGUGAUCCUCCCAAUCAUCCAUUACCAAAAAUUGAUCAUGCUGAUGAGAUCAUAAGAGUCUAUUCGGAACUCCCAGUUUACUUGCCUCUUAUCUCAGGAUCCUCCAUUACCCCCUGUCUUUCCAACAUCAAAUCAACUUGCAAACAAUUCCUUUGUAGAUAAAAUGUUUUUAAUAUUGCAAAAGGGGACUUAUCAUAAUGGUUGAAUCGAUUUAUUUGAUAUAAUCACUCAAAUUCAAGCUUAAAAUUGAUCAUAAUAAAAUGUUUUUAAUAUUGUUAAAAGGAGAUUAUAAUGGUUUUAUUUGAUAUCAUUACUAAAAUUCAAGCUUUCAAACAUGCUCUACAAAGAAGUUCUAAAAGACUACAAGAAAGAGUUUCCACUAAAGAAAAACAAUGAAACCAUUUCUACUAAAGACAAACAAUGAAACCACAGAUGCUUUGUGAAAUAUGUACCCGCACAAUCCAACAAACUUUAGAAAUUCACAAACACUACCUAGAAUUUUUGCUGACCAGCAAAAAAUUUAUGCAAUUUAAUUCUUAUUGUUAUUAUUAUUUUCAAUGUGAACAAAUAUGAUUGAAUUAUGAAGUAUUUGGCCAGAAGAGGAUCUUGCCUAAUUAUAGUCAUUAAACAACCAUUUAUACCAUAGCCUCUAGACUUUAAAAAGUUUAUAAAACUCAAGGGCUUCCACCCAAUUUCUAGAUAUCUCCAUAACAUUCUUCUGACUAUUAGAAAGCAAUUACCACUUUAAUUUUUCAUUUCAUGAGUGUUCAAUUCAGAAAAAGACCAGGAUCGAACUUGCGAUCAUGCAGUCGAAAAUCCACCUGUGCAUGAAACUAUUGCCUCACGAUUGCAAACUCAAGUUGGAGUCCAGUAACAACUCUAGGUUUGCUGAUGUGCUCCAUUUGAAAUAAAGGAACUAAAGAAUACUUUAUAAAGAUUAAUUACCUUCAUAUUUUAGGUUGGGGUUAAGGCAAAAUGUGAUAGAUUGAGAGGAAGAAAAUAUAUCUUGUUCAGGAAGCCAAUAUUUUGGAGUUCACCUUUCCAUUCGAGUCCACUCUGCUAUAGCAAAAUCAGAGUCACAACUAUGCCUCUUUAAGCUAUCCUUUAAUUGGAUGAAUUGCAGAUUUGGUUGCUGAGAAAGUGGAUAAGAAAGAAAAAUGCAUACUGUAGCUUGAGAUUAAGAGUUUGUUUUCUAAAAUGAGAGAAAGGGAAAGAGAAAAAAUGCAUAUUGUAGCUUGAGAUUAAGGGUUUGUUUUCUAAAAUGAGAGAAAGGGGAAGAGAAAUGUUCGACAACUUUGAGAUGACAAAUUUUUAGAUUUGGAAAAUUUGAGAUGAGUCUCAGGUUUUUUUUUUUUUUUUUUUGUCUUUGUCUUUGUUUUUUUUUUUUUUUUUUGUUUUUUUCCCAAAAACAACCUGUUAAUGUGGUUGUUGACAUAGAAGUGGGUGAGGGCAAAAUGGGCAUAGAAAAAAGAGUCAACACAAAGUGCACAAAACCCAUAUUAUUUUCCACAUUAAUGACUGAUUCUCAUAUUUCUUGUUCUUGGGAUUUGAAAACCAUAUUAUUUGCAAAUGGACCUCCCAAAGCACAGGUUUCCCUUAGUUUUAUGUCUCCAUCUACAUUUUACAUAUAAAUAGAUUAUUUUAUAAAAUUUGUUUUGUAGAUAUAUUAGUUAAUAAUUAUAUAAUUAAUGAUAUAGAAAACAUAUAAAAAUCAUAUUUAAAAAAGAUAAUUACAUAUUCCUCAACAAUCCAUCCCAAGAAUUCGAGGUUGAGUUGAAAACAUGUAGAGUCUUUGAUGUUAUUAUAAUCAUAUCCAACACAUAUGAUUAUUGUUUAUGAGAUAUUAUUAGAAAGUUUGUCUUAAAAUAAUUGAUUUAUUACCCACCUUUAGCAAAUGCCCAUUUUUGCGUCUUUCAAAAUUUUCAUUUUUUUUUUGUUUAAAAGAAGUAUUGUAAAGAAUGAUGAAAUAAGAAAUUUGUUGAGAAAGUGUGAGUAAAUAAUUUUACAUAAAAAGAGAUUUAAUACUUGAUAAAUAAAAUAAUAAAAUCAUGAUUUCUAGUUGUAUAGGGCCGGGUGGAUGGAGUGGCUAAGAUGUAAUUCUUGAAAUAGAGGAGACAACAUCAAUGUAUAAAAGUUUAACAGAGAAGGAAAGUGUGUUUGAAUGACUUUAUUUUCUUCAUUUAAAGUUUUGACGAUGAGUGUUUAUACAAGAUAAAUUUUCAAAUGAUAGGACUCCUAUUUACAUGGAGUUUGUGAUAUACUAUGAUUAUACAAAUUUAAAAUUCAAACAGAUUCAUGAGUUGAUAGGAGUCUGCUCAAUACGCCCCUUCAAAAUGGUGGGAGAUAGCACACCAAUCUUGACUCGAAGGGCCUAAACUCGUGCAGAAGAUGAGGGCUUUGUUAGAGCAUCGACAAGUUGAUCCGUGGUUGACAUAUGGGACACCUUGAGCUCACCUGAUUAAACCUUGUUUCAAACAAAAUGAAAAUCAAUCGCCGAUGUGUUUCAUGGAGAGUGAAACAUGGGAUUUGCACAAAGAUAUGUUGCACCCACGUUAUCACAAGAGAUAGGAGGUGGUGAUAAAUUUGAAACACUAAGUUUUGAGAGAAGAGAAUUAACCCAAAGAACCUUUGAGGCUGUAGAGGCCACGACGUGAUAUUUCGCUUCAGUGGAAGAGCGUGCUAUGAACUUUUGUUUCCUCGAUGACCAAUACACAAGAUUGUGACCAAGAAAAACAAUGGGAGCAUUGGUGGAGGAUCUGACAUAAGGAUUCCUUGCCCAUUCAACAUUCGAAUAUGCAUGUAGAUUGAUGGGCGAUUUCUUAUGCAAGAACAGACCAUGCACCAUUGUGCCGACUAAGUAUCUAAGCAAUCUUUUAACACAAGACCAAUGUGUUGAUGUUGGAUGGUGCAUAAAUUGAGAUAAUUUAUUCAUCAAGAAGGUGAUGUCAGGGCUAGUAAGAGAGAAGUAUUGAAGGCUUCCAACAAUUGACAUAUAUUUAGUGGGACCAGGAAAAGAGGUGUCAUCACACAGAUUUGGAACAUUGUUGAGGAACAUCAAUGAUUGAACUGGUUUGGUAGCCACCAUUUGUGUUUUCUUAAGAAGCUCUCGAAUGUACUUGAGAUAAAAAUAAUCCUUUGGAAGUAUGUAUCAUUUCAACACCAAGAAUAAAAGAUGAAGUCCUGAGAUCCUUAAUGGAGAAUUUGACUGCUAAUUGAGAGAUCACGCGAGCACGAAAAACAUUAUUGUUACUUGUUAAAAUAAGAUCAUCAAUAUAAAUAAGUAGGUAAACAAUGAGACCACUCUUUUUAAAAAUGAAGAGGGAUGUCUCGGUUUAGGAGUUGACGAAGGCUAUUGAGAGGAGAAAUUGGCAAAGUUCAUGAUACCAUGAUCGUGGAGCUUGUUUAAAGCCAUAAAAAGCCUUACAAAGUUGGCAAAUGUGAUGAUGUGUGUAUUCGUGAACCCAGGAGGUUGAAUCAUGUAAACAUCUUCAUGAAGUGUCCUAUGCUAGAAUGCAUUAUUAAUGUCCAAUUCAUGAGUUGAUAGGAGUCUGCUCAAUACAAUGUGGGAGUGUGAUUUCAAAAUUAGGGUAAUUUCGAAAUGGAUUUUGUAUUCACAAGUUGAAUUUCAAAAUUAUUUUGAAAUGGUCUUUUAACUUUAAGCAGUUGUGUUCAAAAGGUCAUAACUUCUUCGUUUCAAUUUUGAUUUACACAUUGUUUAAAACAUUGGACUCUUUACUUCCCGAGCUUCAAAACGAUAUAUAGUAUGCUCAAAAAUGACAUCAGGAUUGGUUCAAAUUUCAUCUUGAUAUUAGAGUACAUGUUGUGAUUAGAUUUUGAGUUCCAAAUUUCCAUGUAAACUUGAUUGCAUUUGCUUCAAACCUCCUUCAUUAUGGUUGCUUGCCCUCUAUCUCACUUUGCAACAUUUGUUACUAGUAUUUUAUGUCCAUGACUUACUCAUUUCAACCUUUCUUGGAUUCUUCAUGGUUCACAAAUUAUGGAUUCUUCAUGGUUCACAAAUUGAGUCUUUCAAUUAUGCAUGUUUAACUCCUAUUUCCUUGGUUGAUAAUGACUUUUACACUUAUCAUUUUCUUUUAUUCUUUAAACCUGAAUUUAGACUUACAAAAAAAAGUUAGAUCCAUAACUAGGGUCUUAGCAUCAAUUUGAGUUAAGUUGGAUGAUUUGAAAAUUUUAUAUUACAUAAAUCAUAUCAUACAUGUGCCAUUGGAGUGCACAUUUUGGCUCUAAUCAUGUUCCAACCCAUUGUUUUACUCUUGCAUGAAGUAUGUGGCCAUUGAUUUUAAUUUUAUUUGCGAUUAGGUUCAAAAUGGUGCUUUUGUGUUGCUCAUGUGUCAUCAGAAGAUCAACUAAUGGAUUCUCUAACAAAACUACUACAUCAUAGUCAUUUUUUUUUUUCUUAAGACCAAGAUUGAGAUCUCCAAUCGGAGCCAACUCCAUCUUGGGGGCAUGUUAGUGAAAGAUAAAAUUUAUCUUUAAUUUAAAUAUUAAUAUUUAUCAGUUAUUAGUUUUAAUUAGAGUAAAAGAUAGAGUUUAAAUUGGAGUAGGAGAUAAACUUGUGUUUGAACUAGAAUAGAAGAUAAAGUAUAAAGAUUUAUGUUUGAAUUAGAAUAAAAUAUAAAGUUUGAAUUAGAGUAGAAGAUAAACUUGUUCUUUAUUUGUAUAUAAAUAUUCAUCAAUUCUUGAGAAGAAGAUUAUUUCAUAGUUUUUCUAUCUUCUUUUUUCUUCAUACAUAUCUGCAAGAAAUUGAAGAUUUCAAGUAAAAUAUUUUCUGUUUUAAAUAGUGAAAAAAGCUAGAAAUUCACUUUGUUAUCUCUUGGGGUAAAUUGACAAGGUUUAACGUUAAGAAGGUGAAUUAUUUUUUCAGAAAAACUGAAGUAGCUAGGAUAUCUGGCCAGUUGUGAUCGAUAAAAAAGUUGUAAAAUCUCUCAUAUACUAAACAGGUUUUGGAUGUUGGUAUGGUAAAUCCAUCUGCAGUCAUUCGUCAUCUCAUCUAGUGAGAUGUUUGGGAGGUGGUGACCGCCGGAUUGGGUUUCAUUUGGUUAAAUCUGUCAGUGGGUUGGCUACUACCCGAGCCUCUUGCUUUGGGGGAGGUGGGUUCUAGAUAUAAUGUUCAAACCAUUUUAGUUAUCAUAUGCAUGACAUGUAAGCAUAAUCUCUUUAUCACUUCUUCAAUGGGAGUUCAUGGUUAGGAAUUGACUUCUUUUCUUCUGGGAUGCUUGGCAUGUAAUGGACAAAGUUACUUUUAUAUCGAUCGAAUUUCUAGUAUUAUAGUGAAGACUUACCCUUUUGACAUUUUAUAUCGAAUUAUAGAAGAUGAAAGGGACAUACAUGCAAUCGACUGACGCUUUAGUGAAUAUGCUGAAAAUAUGCUGAUGCUGUGGAGAUCGUAUGAGGACAGAGGAAAAAGAUAGAAAUGGAUAUAUAAUUAGACCUAGGUUUUUAUUAAAUGAGAUGGGGAACAUAGAGUGAGGGAAAAUCAAAAUUUUUGGCUGCAGUUCACAUUGGUGAUAUUUUGGAUUGACAAAGACUAACGACUUUUCUAUUUUUCUUUUCGGCCUGACUGGAUAGUUGGACAUGGACAAUACAGAAUCCACAGAAGGAUUGUUGGGACCGCUGAAAAUUAGCUAGAAGAAGCUGAGGAAGUAGUCUACGUAGUCAAAUACCAAACACAAAGAAAGAAAGAAAUGGAUAUCAUGGAUGCCUAGAGUUAUACUCCUAAUACCGUCACAGGUAUUUUUCUUUCCUCCUUUUUUUUUCUACGAUAAUUAGAGCAUUUCUCCUCCUCCUCCUCCUCCUCCCCCCACCCCACCACCAAAAAAUAAAAAAAUAAAUUAUUGCAAGUAACACUUCAAAUAUUAAUUUAUACAUUCUAAAGUAUAUAUUCAUGAAAUAACUUGAGUAUCAUACAUUAGUUCUCAAAAAAAAAAAAAAAAAAAAAAAAAAAUUACUGGAAGAGAAAAGUUUAAGAAAACAUAAAAAUAUUCAACUACUAUUUUAAAGAGAAAAUUUAAUUUUUACACUAUAAAUUUGAAGAGAACUUUUACAUGCAUCUUAUAUAAACUACCAUUUUUUGCUAAAAGGCUUAAAUUUGUCAAAAAUACCCCUUAGGUGCUUAACGUUCUGGUCAUAAUAUAAUUGGCAUCUUUUCUCAAACAUAAGGCCUGUGUGUGGGAACAAGAUUUAAUGUUAAUGAGCUUCGCCACCGACAUUUAGUUCCAGAAAUCAUUAUUUUAAUAGAGUGGGCUCAAUUUACAACUUUAAUUAAACUCUAACCAACUGCAUUGUGAAAUGAAUAUGUUUCUUUCGUGGUGAAUCCAAUGAGUUGGGAGUCAAACUUUGCUUCAUUGUGUAUAGAUGAAAUGUUAAGACUCCAUGUAACCUCAAACAUUUCCGCAAUNNNNNNNNNNNNNNNNNNNNNNNNNNNNNNNNNNNNNNNNNNNNNNNNNNNNNNNNNNNNNNNNNNNNNNNNNNNNNNNNNNNNNNNNNNNNNNNNNNNNUUCUUUCGUGGUGAAUCCAAUGAGUUGGAGUCAAACUUGCUUCAUUGUGUAUAGAUGAAAUGUUAAGACUCCAUGUAACUCAAACAUUUCCGCAAUGAGCGGGAGUUCUAAAUUUAAUAAUUGAAAUUGUCAGUGGAACCAGUGGACAAGAGUUGGUUUGUGGUUGACAAACUUAUCCGUUUGAUCUUUACUUGAACAGUUCCAGUGUGUGGAUGGGUACUGAUGAAGUGUGCGCAUUUAUUUUGAGAAGCCUGCUUGUUCGCAUAGAUUUUAACGACAUGAACAUUGUGGUAAGGUUAGAGAGUAAUGCGAAUGUAGGAGCUUAUAUUAGAAAUGACACAAACACGUAAAUAGAAGUAAUCUAUAUAUGAUAUUACUCAUGGACUACAAGCAAAGAAGUACAAUACAUGGAGUAAGUGAUGAAAUGAGCAUUCCUCACUACUACUGCUUGACUGAUGGAACAUGAUGCACGAGAUAGCAUAAGUAGUAGUAGGAAGCAGCUCUUAUUUGUGGCGUCGGUAUACAUCAUACUAGGUAGAUGGUUCAAUUGGCAUGGAUGGGUGGUGGAGCCUUGAAGUGCUUGUGAUGGGGAGCCCACGGCUUCUUCUCAGGAGUUGGUGGCUUCUUGUAUGGAGUUGAUGGAGGUGUUUCUACUGGAGGGUGGCCAGGGUAGUGACCCUGGGGUGGUGAAGGUUCUUUUGUCGGUGGUGGCCUCACUAUUAUUGGCGGUAGAGUUGGUGGCUUGGGCGUUGGCGGUGGUCUCACUACUCUUGGGGGUAGAGUUGGUGUCUUGUGUUUUGGUGGUGGAGGUGGCUUAACAGGAGUUGGUGGCUUGUAUUCUGGGGGUGGUUUCUCCACCGGAGGUGGCUUAUAAACUGGAGUUGGUGGCUUGUAUUCUGGGGGUGGCUUCUCCACUGGUGGUGGCCUGUAAACAGGGGUUGGUGGCUUAUAUUCUGGGGGAGGCUUCUCCACUGGAGGCGACUUAUAAACAGGGGUUGGUGGCUUGUAUUCCGGGGGUGGCUUCUCUACGGGAGGUGGCCUGUAAACAGGGGUUGGUGGCUUCUCCACCGGAGGUGGCUUAUAAACGGGGGUUGGUGGCUUGUAUUCUGGGGGUGGUUUCCCCAGUGGUGGAGACUUGUAAACAGGAAGAGGUGGUUUGUGCUCAUAUGGGGGUGGCUUGUGGUCAUUAGCAAGUGAGGGAGUGGUGAGGACCACCAAUCCAAGGAACAACACGAGUGAGCAAGCAGAAGACAUGUUUGGGCUCUGGUGAUGCACAAGUAGAAGAAAUGGGAACCAUUUAUAAUGCUUCGAGACCUUGGUUAGCACCAAAAUAUGUCAAAAUCUUGAUUACUUCAUUUCAUACAUAGAUUUAAAAUUAUUUCAAUCAACCAUGAUCCUUAAUUUUCUGGGUGGUCCAUAAAUGUAAUGGGGUCAAUUUGGGACCUAACAAGCUGAGAAGUUUGACAAUGCUGCAAGGCUUCAUCCGAAAGUCCGGGGAAGAAUAUUAGGAGUUACACUCCGUUUCCUUUUUUGGGUGCAUUUUUCUCCUUUAACAUUCUAUUCCCUUUUACAUUAGCAUUUGAUCUUAGCUCAUUUCAAGUACAAGUUUCUUGAACCCUAUACCAUUGUCAAAGUUGAGUAACCAUCUCUACUUUGCUCAAGAAACAUAAAAGACAAUGACAAUAAAGAAAAAGGAGAGAGACCAUACGUGACUUGGUUUAUAGGUGGCUUUGUGUUGACAUUUGAGUAUGGAAGCCGACAUGCAUCUUAGCUUCGAUUUUAAUUAAAUUUGUACAUUAGUGUCUGUGUCAUUCAUUUUGGUAUAAAAGGUCUCUUGAUUUCGUAAGUUUGGUAAGAACCGUUGAAAAUAGCAGUAGCAGCACAUGGUCCACUUUCUUUCACAAAAUAAUUUUAAAAGUUUAGAAGCAUAGGAGGUAACAUUAGUGGCCUUGUGGCUCAGCCACGAGUACUAUGUGGUGCUCGAGAAAUUGAGUUUAAUUUCCUUCCGAUAGUUCAUGAUAAGGUCCGUCACUGUCCUGAGACAGAUUGCGUUUUUUCUUUUUUCCUUUUUUAGUGUUUUAUUGACUAGCUAGGUGUGACUUUUCCUACUUUAAGGCACGAGGCAGAAAAGAAACUGGGAUUUAGUGCUUAAGAAGGCAAAUUUAAUUCGAUUUGGAUCUAAAAUUUGCCAGCAACAUGAGAUUUUCCAGCCUAUCGUUGCUCCACAUAUAGACAAGGCACUUGUAGAAGUGGCUUGUUUGUAGCCAUUCCCGAUAUUUGGACUCACUUGAUUCACCGGACACUUUGAUAAAAUUUAAUAUUUAUUAUUUAAUAAUUUAAAUUGAUUUAAAAUUAAAUUAUACCGAAGUUGUGAUUUAAAAAUUAUUAUUUAAUUCUUACUUUUAAAUAUGAAGAUUAUUUGAUAAAAAUAAUUUAAAAUUUAUUAUAAAUUAUCAAAUUAACAUAUUUAUCCUUAUAAAUUAUAAUUAAAACAGAAAAGGUCAAAUGAUUUGAGUAUCCAUAGAUGUGGUAAAAUAAUAAAAAAGAUUAUAAAAACAAUUAUGAUAAAUAAAGAUAAAAAGUAAAAUGAAUAUGUGAAUUUAAAGAAUAAAUUAAUUAUUUUUAUUUAUUACUUAAAAUUAUUUUUGACUUUAAAUUAUAUUAUUAAAUUAUUUUACCAAACAUACUUAAUUUAGUUAAUAAUUUAAAUUUAAUUUAAGUUAUUAAAUUGAUUCACCAAAUACCCACUUAAUCAAAGACUGAAGUAUACAUUAUUUGGCCAAAUGCAGCUAUUGAAAUUUAACUUUUUCCAAACUUAUUCAUUUUGUGGAAAUAUUUUUAGAAAUGAUUUUAAAAAUGCACUAUUCUGUGUGUUGAUUUUAUAUUUUGGCAUUAAUCCAACAUAGAAAACGGUUCUUAUUUUCGCUGUUAAAUAGGUACCAGAUCCUUAAUUAGUGCCGUGAAUCCGGCAGCUUCCAAUGAGUAAUUUGGACUUGGGUAUUGACAAUGUGUGGCCAUGCUUCUACUAUUUUAUUAUUCUUGAAACAUAUAUGAUAUAUUGGACUUUAUACAGGGAAAAAAAAAAAAAAAAGUCUUCACCAAAAAUGAUUCCUCCUAAAAAAUAGACUCCACAAACUAGGUUUAACAGGAAAAUGAUUCUAAUCUAGUAGUUUCCAGCCACAUGAGCAUUUACGUAACAAUAGUAUAGUUGAUAACGACUUUUAUUUUAUUUAUUUUUAAAUAGUUAAAGGGAUAAUUUUUGAGCUUAAAUUUUAUUUUUUUAUUUAGAAACAUUUUACUUUAUUUUUUAAUCAUAAUUCUAUUAUAUUAAUGUUUUAUUUUCUAUUUUUUAAUAUAUAAGGAGAUACUAAAUUUAUGUGAUUAUUUUUUAAAAAUUUAGUAUAUGAAAUUAAAUAAUUGGAUAUAUAUACAUAUAUCAUAUAAUGUUUUUUAAGUGUGAUUUUUGAACUUUUUAGUCAUUUUAUAAGUUUAAGCUUUUGAUUUUUUUUUUUAAACUUUGGUAUUUUUUAUUUUAUAUAAAACUAUUUUGAUUUAAUUUUAUUAAAAAAUAUUGGUAUUAUAAAUUAUUGUAUUAAUUAUUUUUUUAUAUUAUAAUGUAACUGGUAUAUACUAAAAAAUGUAUGCAAGUUCAAUUUAAGUUUCAAAUUAAAAAAUUUCAUUUAAAUAUUUAAUAACUUGUUCAUAAUAAAAAAUUAAACAACAUAAUACAAAUGAAAAGAAACAUAAAAGAAAAAGGAAAAAAUGGUCCUCUCUGUGUGUCACAUUACUAGGUCAUCCUCUUUUUCUAUGACCCUUACAAUAGAAUGGCAUAUUUGUCAAAUCUACUUAUGAAAGUUGGAAUGUUUCUACAUGUGUAGGGUCCAUUGGAACUAAUGGAGGAAAGGCUUAACGUCUAUGUAAAUCACAACGUUGCCUAGGUGGGCAUAGAUCUAGUUGUGUAACAUGAGAUGGUGUGAGAGUACAAUAUAUGCAUUGUAGUCUCUAUGGGAAGAGAGAUAGGUAAUGGUAGGGUGGUAGACGGUAGGGUGAUCUCUAAUAUAAUGACAUUUGAUGUGGUGGCUUCUAAGAGAGGAGAUAUAAGAGAUGGUAGAAUGACAUUUGGUGUAAUGGUCUCUAGUGCAAUGACAUGUGAUAUGGUGACCUAUAAAGAAGAGAUAUAGGUGAUGGUGAAGUGGUAUGUGGUGUAGUGACCUUUGAGAUAGAAAAUAGAGGUAAUGGUAGGUUGGCAGGUGGAGUGGUCUUUGGUGUAGUGACAUCAAUUAUAAAUGUCUCCAAGGGAGGAAAUAAAGGUGAUGGUAGGUAGUAAAUGUUGAGGUGGUCUUUGAUAUGUUAUGCUCUAAGAGAGAAGGUAUAGGUAAUGAUAAUAGGGAAUUUGACAUAGUGGUGUUGGAAAUAAAAAGUGAAAGUGACCGUAGAGGUGAAAGGGCAAGUGUAAAAGCCUCAAGUACGAAUGGAGUAAUUAAUGUGGAUGGUGCUAACAUAGUCUUAGGUGGAUACACAAAUAGUCAUAGUCAUCAACUAGCUUGCCCACCAUCUGUCUUUCUGCUAGUGAUAGGUUACAUCUUAAUAGUAAUGGCCAACAUAAGUGGUGUGGAUCCGAUUUUUUUACGUGUGUCCCCACUCAAUCGACAAGACUUAUUUUUUAUUAGUGAAAAAUUAAUUUUGGAAAAGUUGGAGUCACCACUUAUUUUAUUUUAUUUUAAAAAGGAAAGUAAAACAAGAAAGAGAACUCUAAAGAAGUGACUUCAUAGUUUUGGAAAAGUUAGUCUUAAAAAAUCCAAGUCUUGGUCCGGAGAUCAGGUUACUUAUUGGGAAGAUACCUCUAAGAGGUAAUACCCCUCUAAACCCUAAAGAAGUCUCUAAUGACUAAGUUGAGGAGAAUGUGGUAAUUAAUUAAUUGAUUGAGGGUACCUAGGUAGACUAAGGUGAUUUCAGAAUUAACAUACCAAGCUAGAAAGUCCAAUCAUGAUCAUAAAAGAGAGUCAAAGUAUGUACCUGAACUGCUUCUCAAACGCUAUCAUAAAACAUCAAAGUUAGUAUAGAAAUAUAACACAUAAUAUUUGUUUUAUCCAAGCAAAUAAAGCAUACAUCUAAGCACCCAAGAAUCACAUCAAGUAUGGAUAUAGUCAUCAAUAGCAUACGUGUCCAUAGAACUAUCGAAAGUAAAUGUGGAGGAGCGUAUCUGGACAACAUAGAUAACUUAUAAUGUGCUUCCACAAGACAUGGGGGUUAGAUAAAAGUUAUAAUAAUAAUUAGUAAAUGAAAGAAUUCUAGCAUGUUUGGUAUCUAAAUAACAUAGCAAAAAUGAACAAGAGUACACGAAAACAUCAAUUAUCACACGAGUCAUAUUGGCUAGUAUUUAAUCAAUAAACCAACAAUAAAUGACUAUAAACAUAUAAAAUGACAUAUUCAAAGAGACCCAAACAUAAAGAGCCUAGAACACAAGCUUACACUAAAUUUAGAAAACUAAAACAUGGAAUUUUAAAAGCAUAAAUUAGCAAACAAAUUGAUGGAAACUAAAUUUAGAUAACUUAAGAAUAUUUUUCUUAUCCUUCAAUUUAAAUCAGUAAGCCAACAAUAAAAAAUUAUAGAAACAUGGAAUAUCAAGAUCAAUGGGAUACCUAAACUAUAAUUUUUAAAAGAAAAUAAACUAAGCAUAAUAUCUACAAAGCAACUAAACUAACAUUUUUUUAAAAAUAAAUUAAACAUGACAUUAAUGGAGUAACCAAACUAAAUUAAAGUAAACUAAAAACAUUUAUGAAUUUUCAAACAUGGAAUCAGCUUUCUUAGUAAAUUAAAAUUAUUAAAAUAAAAUCUAAGCUUAAAAAUGAAUUAAAUACUAACUAAAGCAAAUCUAAAACCAAAUAUUUAACACAUAGGAUCAAUUAUAUUAACAAACUAAAAUUUUAUAAGAACACUUAAACCUAAAGUUGAAUUAAAAACUAACCAAUUUUUAAAACUAGAUCUUUAACCCAUAGGAUCAAUUAUAUUAACAAAUAAAUAAUAAAUAAUAAAUAAAUAAAACUCAAACCUAAAGAUGAACUAGAAAUGUACCAAAGUAAAUUCAAAACAAGAUCUUUAACACAUUAGAUCAAUUAUAUUGACUAACUAAAAAAAAAAAAAAAAAACACUCAAACCUGAAACGAUGUAUUAGAAACUAACCAAAGCAAAUUUAAAAUAGAGUCUUUAACACAUAGGAUCAAUUAUAAUCACUAACUUAAAUUACAAUUUUUGAAACAUGAACUAAUUAGUGUUGGAUUAAUUAAACUAAUUAACUAAAAAAAACUAUAAACUAGAAUACGGUGAAUCAAGAAUUCAAAUCAACAAACAUAAAAUAUGGGUACAAUGAAAUGAAAAUCUAUUAAACUAAUAAGACGGAAAUAUGACAAACUCAUGAACCCACAUUUUGAUCAACUAGGAAAUAGAAAUUAAUAGACCUGUAGCAUGGAUACAAUGAAAUGAGAUCAGUUAAAUUUAUUUGCCGAAAUUCUAAAAAACACAUACACUCAAAUAAGAUCUAAAUCUAAGACCAAGCAAAACUCAAACUUUCUCAAUCUAAUGCAAUGAAUCAAAACUAAAAUUAAAUAGAAAUCAAACCAUUUUUUUUUUAUCUAAUAUAAUAAAUCAAAGCUAAAACUAAACAAAAUCGAAUUUUCUUAAUUUAAUAUGAUGAGUCAAAGCUAAAAUUGAACAAAGUUCAAACCUUUAUAUAAUGGAUCAAAGUUAAAUCUAAAUGAAAUCCAUACUUCCACAAUUUGAUAUAACAAAUCAAAAAUAAAACUAGAUAAAAAAAAAGUCAAAGCCUUUCAACUUGACAUAGUGAAUCCAAACUGAAACGAAACAAAAUUUUAACUUUUCCAAUGAAACCCAAUAUAGAAAAAAUUAGCUUACCUUCUUUAGAAUAUAUGUAUGGGCCAUAAAGAAGUCACCUUGGUGCAUGUGUUCCUCACUUUGACGCCAAUGGACGACUUUCUAUGGUAGCAAAUGGAGAUCCUUUUUGGUGGUAACUUGCGUGUGGAAACCUAUGGUACAACCAAUGUCAUCUUUUAUUGUGCGUGUGGACCAAUUUCUUCUCGAGAACUCAUGUGUGUUGUGCUCAAAAUAUGUUGCCUGUGAGAAUCUAUUGGUAUACCCCACAUAUGGUUUCCUUGAGAGAAUCUGUGGUUGUGUGUGGGCGUUUUCUUCAUGACAGCAUGUGGAUGUUCCCAUCUAUGGUAGAUUGGUUGUGAUGCUUUAGUGCAUGGUCUCCAUAGGAAUAGUGUGUUAUGGAAAUUUGGUUUUUUUAUUGGUGCAUGUUGUCUAGACUUUCCCAUAUGCGUGGACUGUGUGUUCAUGCUUUUCUUUUCGGAUGGUCGCCUGUGUUAAUGUGUGGCGGUGUCUACAAUGAAAGAUACAACCCUUUCUCUCCUUCUGCGUGAUAGAAAAGUCAAUCCCCCAUGGUGCGACUAUGUUCCCUCGUCCUUUUUGAAAAAUUUUGGUGUUUUCCCCCCAAAAAAUCCCCUCCAAAAAUCUAAUUAUAAAUGUCUGCUUUGGCCUAAUGUGUGUGCUACUUUUUUUUUCCUUCUUUUUAUGGUUGUGCGUGCUUUUCUUGAUACGUGGCUUAUUUCUUAAGGAUAUGAUUCGCUCCCAAUUGGUGUCUCAGCUGAUUCAUGUCCUUUCAAUGGUCCCUGACAGUGGUGCCAUUUGAUUCGUGUCCAGCUGGUGUCCCUUGAUUGUGGUCCUCAGAAGGGAGUAAUCAAUAAAAUUUAUAACCUAUUACACCAUGUAUUAGGAUAGCCUUAGCUAGCAUAGCAUAGUGGCUCUAGGGUCGUUUAUUGGGAUGAGUUUUCACUUCACAAUUGAUAUUAAUUCAAGAGCUGAAUUGGUGCCUUUUCAUUUCAAGGUUAGCUUUAAAAGAAAACAUAAUCUUUGGUGGAAAAAGGUUUGGUUUUAAACUAACCAAAAAUAGUAACUGAUUUUACUUACAAAGAAAAGUGUUCUUUGGAGUUUAGAUCACUAGGCUCAGGUUCCUCAUACAAAAAGGAGAGUUCCGAUCAUUUGUUUCUUUUCCUCGCAUUAGAGAAUUAACAUAUAGUUAAUUCUCUAACCGGUGCGGUACAUAUGCUUCCCAUUAAUGGGUUCAAACACUAAAUACCUCUCACUGAUGCACCUUGCAAUGGCUCGUGCCUCUCACCUAGCAUUUAUCAUUCAAGGUGAUCUUUAACCUUGGAUUACCCAUCAAAAGCUCGCAAGAGAUAACUAAAGGAUGUCUCCUUAGAGUCCAAAAGCUUACCAAGUGUUGGUUAUUCUAGAAAAUCCUACCUUCAAACCACCUCCCAAAGGCUCGCAAGAGAUAAACAAGUGCAUCUCAAUGGAUGAAGAUCACUUGCCUUACCAAGUUUUGGCCCAGAUGAUUUAAUGACAUUUUAAGUUAACUAAAAAGAUAAAAACCAUUAACGGGUCACACUUUCUCUUCAUUAAAAACUAAAACAACAAAACUUCCAAUUUAUGCAUGAGGAAACUUACCUGGCUUUCUUCACUUCAAGAGAUGAAGAGCCUAGCCACUCAUCAUUUGAGGAAAAAUCCUCAGAGUUUGAUUUGCUAGAAAUAAAAAUAAUGAGAAAACAAAAAUAUAUAUAUGAAAAACAGAGCAAGUUCUCUGUAAUAUAUUUUUCUUCCUUAUACAAAAGGUUGUCUCUAAGAACAAGUUCCCGAGAUCUAUCUGAUUGUAAAUAAAAUUACAACUAUAUAUAAGAGGUUAUUCACCCCUUUGUUCUUUCUUAAAGACUAAGGAAUCCUAUGAUAGGUGGGUUACAAGGAGAGUUUGGGGAUUUAGACAUCAAAUAUCUAAAGCAAAAUAUCUCAAGAUGUUAGUCGGAAAUAUCAGGAAGCUUCAGGAGAACACCGCGACACUGUAUACUGAGAGAAAAACUCUCCGGGUAAGCUCUAUCAAAGGAUCCAGACAUGUCUGACUGGGAAAGUUGAAACGUCCUUCUCUCCCAUCCGGAUGUGAGAUAUCCGGAGAAAGUGAAAUGUCGGUCGGACAGAAUUCUUUCCCCGGGUGGAAUGAGUUGUGUUGCGCGUCGCAAGGGGGACCGUCUGCGUGUACAAGUUGUAGGGACCCCUCUCCCGGAUGACACCGAGCGCGUAAGGCUAUCCGGAUCAACUCCAUUCGGAUUCCCCAAGAGGACAUGUGGCGUGCUCCCCUAUCAGGACUCCCUUAGGGAGAAGCACACGACACUCGUGAACAUCAUACCCGGACGAUAGCAUGUCCUAUCCGGAUGUGUUGUCCGGAUCAUUGACUAAAGUGAGCAAGCCUUGCUACGUCAUUCGGACAGCUUGCCACAUACCAUGUUCCGUCGCCAUCUGAUGGUGUGUCCGAACGCCUUGUCCGGACAUCUUUUGCUCCUUGCAUUCCGGAUUUGCUUAUGACAAAGGACUUCAAAGCUUCGGUUCUUCAUGUUUCUGAGCUUUCCAUUGCUUUGCCAUGGAUUCCAAAGAACUCUCCUUAAUCACGGAUUGCUUUGGUGAUCAAAAAGUUAUCAAAACACAAAAACUUAACAUAGUUUGAUUAGAAUUGAUUGCAAGGGUUCUUAAUAUGUUAAUUGGGUUAAAAGGUGAUAACUACUACUCAAAAGUGUUUAUAAGAAUUAAUUACAAGCUAUGAAAUAACACUUUUUGAGUAGUAAUCAGGAUACAUCCUAGUUUUUCAUGGAAUUGAUAGUGGGUUGUUGUGCAUGAAUGCCACCAUUUCAACUAUGCUGUUGUUAUUUUUAAAAAAAAUAUGGAUUAUGCGCGAGUGGCAAUUCUCCACUAUGGAAAGUGGAUUGCUCCUUCAACCCAUGCAUGGCUACGUAUUCCUAUGUCUUUCUACUUGUGUUUGAUCCUCCAAAAAAAAUUUCGGUUUAGUGCUAGUAGAUUUUAAGUGGUGGAUCCCCAUUUUUUGAAAAUGAAGUGGCAGCCUCCCAUUUCAAGACAAAAUGGUAGCCUGCCUUUAAUCUUUGGAGAAAAAUCUGUGCAUGACCUUUUUUUUUCCCAAAAAAUCCGUGCAUGGUGUCCUUUAAUAUUUGGAGAAAAAUCUAUGUUGGAUCUUUUCUUUUCUAGAAACAUUUGUGUGGUCUUUUUUGUUAGCCCAAGGGUUCUUCUAAUCAAGUUUUGAUGAUAACAAACCAUGGUUAAGUGACUAAUUGGUUUAAUGAUUAAGAAUCUCAAACAUAAAAUCGAAAAUUCAUCAAAGGACCAAAUGGAUACAAGAUCGAGACGCUUGGAAGACUUGUAAUCAUAGGAAACUAAUGUAAGAUGAAUGCAUGAGUGCACUUAGGAUUUUCACACGUUUCAUGCAACUUAGAAAACCCAGUUUAUUCUUUAAAACUUCAUCCCAGUUUAUUCUUUUUAUGGUUGUGUGUGCUUUCCUUGAUACGUGGCUUAUUUAUUAAGGAUACAUCCCAGUUUUUCAUGGAAUUGACAGUGGGUUGUUGUGUGUGAAUGCCACCAUUUCAACUGUGCUGUUGUUAUUUAAAAAAAAAAAAAAUGGAUUGUGCGCGAGUGGCAAUUCUCCACUAUGGAAAGUGGAUUGCUCCUUCAACCCAUGCAUGGCUACGUAUUCCUAUGUCUUUCUGCUUGUGUGUGAUCCUCCAAAAAAAAUUUUGGUUUAGUGCUAGUAGAUUUUAAGUGGUGGAUCCCCUUUUUUUGAAAACUAAGUGGCAGCCUCCCAUUUCAAAACGAAGUGGUAGCCUGCCUUUAGUCUUUGGAGAAAAAUCUGUGCAUGACUUUUUUUUUCCCAAAAAAUCCAUGCAUGGUGUCCUUUAAUAUUUGGAGAAAAAUCUAUGUGGGAUCUUUUAUUUUCUAGAAAAAUUUGUGUGGUCUUUUUUGUUAGCCCAAGGGUUCUCCUAAUCAGGUUUUGAUGAUAACAAAUCAUGGUUAAGUGACUAAUUGGUUUAAUGAUUAAGAAUCUCAAACAUAAACUCGAAAAUUCAUCAAAUGACCAAAUGGAUACAAGAUCGAGACGCUUGGAAGACUUGUGAUCAUAGGAAACUAAUGUAAGAUGAAUGCAUGAGUGCACUUAGGAUUUUCACACGUUUCAUGCAAUUUAGAAAACCCAGUUUAUUCUUUAAAACUUCAAUUUCAUUAAAACCCGAGUUUUUAACUAAUGUACCUUAGGCAAAAUGUUUUAUAAUUGGCUUAAUAAUUCACCUAAAUACAUUUUCUAAGUGUUAGAAAAGAAAGGAAUUAAAAAAAGGUUUUCGGGGCAAAAAAGGCUCAACCGGUCGAGGCUAUGGUCAACCGGCUCAACCGGUUGAGGAACCAAUCGAUCGGUUGUGCUUGUCCGAUCGAAGACCAAUCGAGGGAUGCCAAAAAAUUUCUCUCUCUCCUAGUGGCCUUCUCUUCCCGGUCGAGGUUCGGUCUAGGCAACGGUAACAUGUCAAGCAUUAAAUGCUCCGACGACUAGUGAAUCGGUCGACCCCUAGCCCGAUCGGACGAGGUUGCCUUUUGCUGUUUUUGACUCCCGAGCUUAGAAACCUAUAAAUUGAGAGCUCCACUUCAUUUAUUGAUAAAAGAGAACACUUGCAUUCAAUAGUCUACCUACCUUUUCUUGAUCAAAAAGCUCUCAUUUCCUUCAUAGUGCAUUAAAUCAUCACUUGCAUAUCCUUUAGUGCACUAUUGUGUGUCAUCCUAGCUUUGUUUUGUAUUUGAGCUAUCCUUAAGCUAGGUUGAGGGAUUAUUUCUUAUAAAAAUCUGAGUGUUAAAGCCUUCAAGAGAUUUGAAUCUUGAAGAGAUUGUGUAAGAGCCCAUUGGAGCCGGAGUCCAAGUGUAAGAAGAUUGGAAGCUUGGUUGAAGCUUCAAGUUAGUGGAACCCUCACUCGGUUAGGAGGUUGAGGAGAGUGGACGUAGGUAAGGAAGUGUCGAACCAUUAUAAACCCGAGUUUGAAUUCUCUAACUCUAUCUCUUUAUUUUGCUUAUAUUGUGUUUGAAUUUGUUGUGAUUGAAAAGAUUUUAAAAACCUAAUUCACCCUCCCCCCUUUUGGGUUUUUUUUUCUUAAUUAAGCAUAACCUUUGUUUUCUAAUUUUCUUUUUAGGAAAAUCCAUGCGUGGUAUGUCCAAACUCUCCAAGUGGCAGUCUGCCUUCUUCUAAAAAAUUUGUUUCUAUUUCUUUAUUCGACUACCUUCCAUGUCUUCCUAAUGAGUGCUUGUGCUCAAUGGUCAAUCCCUGGUGGUUGCCUCCUUUUCCCAUAUAUACGUGUUGCAAAAUCAACAUCCCACUAUAUGUGGGUUGCCUCUAUGGCAAGUUCACAUUUCCCACAUGAAACCUAUGAGUUUCCACCAAAAAUUGCCAUGAAAAAGUCUUUAUAUGCAUCUCAUGCAAUAAAAAGUCAAGCCAAUACUCAUCUUAUCUCGAAAAAUAAGUAACCAAAAUCAAGAUCAUGCCUAAGUGAACUAUGCCAAAAGAAGUGUCCAAGUGACCUAUUAUGAAAAAAGUGCCUAAGUGACCUAAGGUGAAUGUGUGUAAGCUGGAAGGUGUCUAGGAUGUUUAGGACAAUGCCUAAGCCUAAAAUAGGGUUGCCAAGGGUCACAAUGGGGUUAGAUAAAUCUCUCAAUCAGAGUCUCCAAGGUGGCUCAUAAAAGAUAAGCUACACGAGUAAUGAUGGGCCACCAGGGAAUUAUUGUAAAGCACCAAACGAACACAUAAUAGGACAUGUGUUAGAAUGAAAAAAUGGAGGGUUUACAAGUGGUCUCAUGGAUGAGCUUGAUAAUUUAAAUGACUCACAUAAUGAACGUAUGUGAUGUUUCUCUCCAAUAACAAGCAAAACAUCACUAGCAAUAUGAUGAAUGUCUCCUAAAUCACUUGAAGUAGUCCUAGCAAAUCAAUUAGAAAAAUCACACAUAUUGCUCUAAUGUAAUAUUAUAUACAUCUGUCAAUGAAUGGGAGAACUAAUGACACAACCAUCAUGUUGAUAUCUCGAACCCUCUAAUCUCAUAUGUAGGUGGGAUCACACUUAGAAACUCAUAACACAGUAAUGACCAAUCUAAGUCAAAAUGUGUUGGUGAUCGGAGGCCCAUGAAUAUGAAGUUCUAGGAUGAUAAUGACAUCUUAUAAAGUAAUGAUCAUCUCCUUAAUAGAUAGGUGAAAUGUGUGUGUCUUAGGACACCAUCUCUCAACAAGACUUGUGAUCAAUCCCCAGUCUAGUGUAACAUGCCUAUUAUGACAUCCAUCGUAAAAUCUAGACUAGAUAAUAUAAGGACAAAUGUGAGGGUUCAUCUCCCUUUCCCACAUAAAUUUAAAAAAUUAUUAUUGACAAGUUAAGACCAAACUAAGUUGCAAAAUAUAAAUAAGUCCAUUAGAUAACAAAUUUAUGUUUUCUCAUUUUCUCAUUUUUAAAGAGAUAUUAUGUGCUUCCAUGUACAUACAUGCUAAAGUCAAUUAUACGAGACUUAUAUCCAUCUUGUAGAACCAAAUCGAACCUAUCUAAUAGAUCCAGAUUAGAAGUAUGUCCUCUAUACUCCAUAUUUAUAACACAUUUAUAAAGAUAAAUGCUAAAAAAAUGUUAAAGAUAUAAAUUUAAUGAACCAUACUUUAUGAUUUUAAUUCUCAAUUAUUGUUCAUAUUUAUAAGAGAAAAGUUAAAAAAAUUGAUAGAGUUUUCCCUCUAUCAUGGACAUUAUCCCAAAUAAAAAUAAAUUGAUUAUGCAAAUUACAUUAAUAUUUGUAACCAAAUGAUCAAUAACUAUCUUGUAUCAAUUUAGUAAAUAAAUUUAAGUAUAUCUUUUCAUUUAUGACUAACAAAUAACUCAUACUUGUCCAAUAAAAGCCACACCUAAUUUCUAAAAUUUUGUCUUCACCUCAAGUGAGUGUUACAUUGAGAAAGAAAAAAUAUGAAAGAAAAAAUGAACACCUUUUUCUUUUAAUAAAAAAAGGCCAUAACGAAACAUUAAAUCUCACUGUUACACCUAUCUUCAAUGGAAACAUGAGGAUGUGAAUGGUGGCGGUGAUAUUCUUUGCUUGAAGCUCAUAAACAAAUAUUCCUUACUAAGCCUAUGCCAUUUAGUAUUUCAAUAGUGGACCCCCCCCCCCCCCCCCCCCCCCUCCUUGCAUUUCAGAUUUAGCAAACUUAGAACCAAAUAACAAAGUGCAUUUGAACCCAUAAAGAAGUAAUGAGACUCUCCUAUAUUGGCAAUAGAAGAAAUUUUUGGAGGUAUAGGAGAUUCACGGAUGAAGAAGUUGGGCCCCAAUUGAGAUAAGACCCAAGAAAAGAUGGGGUAGAGAGGGAUGGUUGGAAAUUGUAAAGUAAGAUUUUCAAAAUGUAGUUGAUGACUAAGAUUUUGACAAUUUAAAAAAGGUUUAAAAAUGUAGUUAGCAAUCGGGGUUUUGUAACAUUUAAAAAAUAAAAUAAAAUCUCAGGCCACAUGGUAGCCCAUGUGAUUCAGAAGCUUGAGAAUUAUUUUAUAAGAAGACUUAAUUUGUGAUUUUUUUAUAACUAUAUUAUUUUUUUUCUUAACACACGAAAAAAAUUAUGAAAUAAGACAAUUUUCCUAAGAAAGCAUGUAAGUGACUCUUGGUUAUUUUAUUUAACUUCUUCUAGUUUGGAGAGGAUUAAUACCUUUGCUUUUACUCACUUGCUUGGAUAUGUACACGUUGUUCAUGUCACUUUUCAUUUAAUUUUCUGAUUAAGGGAAUUGGAACCGUACGUAACUGUCUUUAUUCCCUCUGAAACUUGGACUUGGAGUUGGACUUUCAAUCUCAUCAGUCGUGUUUCCAUAAAAAAGAAGAUGGAUUAACCAAUUUUCCUAUGCCUACUAAUCAUACACAAAACUCCACUUCCAAAUAAAAAGGAAUGGGAUAUCACUUGUUAAUAGUGGCUAAAGACUAUUAAUAACCAUGCAAAGAAAUGUCACAUUUUUUGUUCUACGCAAAUUUUAUUCAUCAACUACUAGAACCAUUUCAUACAAUAGUAGCUUUUCGAUCCUUUGAUAAAUGGACACUUGAUGUGAUAACACCAACUACACCUAUAUAUUCAAGCAAUCAUGCGUAUAUAAUAGUGGAUAUGGAUUACUUCUCUAAAUGGGCAAAAGUUUUGUCAUUCAAGGAAAGUGAACGAGGAAACACAAGUUUACUUUCAUCGGAACUAAUAUUAUAUAUUGAUAUGACUUCCCAUUAUUACUUACGAUGGAAUAUGCUUCCAUAAAAUGGCCUAGAUGAACAAACUAUCCAAGAAGUUUGGGAUCAAAUAAUAUAUAUAUAGUUCAUGUGUGAUUCUUUGGUUGACAACCUUGUUAAGGGGUGAGUGAAGCACUUUGGGCAUACCACAUACUACAUGCUAGACUUCCACCCAAGCUACCCUAUAUUCCUUAUGAACAAAGUAGAAGUUGUCAUCUCUCUUGAAUACCAAAUCCUUUCACCUAAUAAUGCUAUCUAAAAAGGUCUUAAAAAGGAUAAAAAUGCGCAUAUUUGAAUUUUUGAAUUAGGAGUGCUACUUAAAAAGAAGCUAGAUAUACAAUAAUAGAAUGUUAUCAAGCAUAUCUCUUCAAAGUUUUUGACCAAAAAAUAUAUGAUUUCUCAUUUUAGGUAGGAGACUUAGUACUCACUAUUCAAAAACCAAUUAUCAUUACUCAUAAAAACUAAUAGAAAGUUUGGGCCAAAGUAGGAUGGACCUUAUAUUAUGCAACAAUUAUGCCUAUAAAAUUGUUGCAAAAGAGGUUUUAGAAUCAAAUCAAUGAAUGAAAAAUUAUUAAAGCAUUACUAUGCUUGAAGGCUAGUCAUUUUCCCUUAAAGUGCAAUAUUAAGUUGCAUAGUACUAUGUGGAUCCGCAUUUUUCACAUGCGUUCCCACUCAUUGUCGAGACUCACUUUUUAGAAGUGAAAAAUUAGUUUUAUUAAAGUCGAAGUUGCCACUGGGGAUUUGAACCCUAACAAAAGGUUCAAUUUAAGGAUAAAAAUAUCGAUAAUCACAUAUAUAUAUAUUGGUACUUUGAUUUUAUGAAUAUAUUGAAGAAAUAUGGACAAAUAUUUUGACACAAAAUAUGUACAAAAUAAAAAUUAUAUAAAAAGUAAAAAUAAAUAUUUUAAAAUUAUUUUUUUAAAUAUAUAUAUAUAUAAUUUGACAUAUUUGAUAAUAAUAUAUAAGGGUCUCCAAAAAGCCCGUGGCCCGCUUUAGGCCCGGUCCGACCCGACAGGCUAAAGCCCGGCCCAAGCCCGCCGGGCCCAAGCUCGGCCCGAGCCCGUUUAUGGGUGGGCCGGGCCGCGAGCCCGUAGGCCUGCUCCUUUAAAAAAAAACUACAAAAAUAAAAAGUAUUAAAAAAAAUAUUCAUUUCAAAAUUUUAUUCAUUGAAUGUAUAAUUACAUUUGAAAAUGUGGGAAAAGUUUACAUCACUACAAAAUAAAUACAUCCCAACUAGGUUGGCACCUAUUUAUUUGUCAAUCAUCUGUAUUUUUCAACCACAAAAAAUAAAAAUAAAAAUAUAAUAUACAUUUAGUCAUUAUUUUCUGGCGGUGAUGGCGAACUAUCAUGCAUCCAUGAAGAUCUUGAUAAUUUUAAAGAUUCCAUAUCGGUAAGCAUCUUUGUUUCUCGAAUGGAAUCAUACAUCCUUUUAUCUGCUAUUUCCCAAUCUUUCACACAUAUCCCUGCUUUAAUAACAUCUGACGCUAAGUUGCAUCGUUUUUUACUAACUACUCUUCCACCUGCACUAAAAGCAGCUUCUGAUGCAACUGUACUCACAGGAACUGUUAGUACAUCACGAGCAAUUAUAGAAAGCACAGGAUAUUUGUGUUGAUGUGAUUUCCACCAUAUUAAAAUAUUAAAAUCUUCUUGAUCUUCAAAUGAAAUUAUAUCAGUAUUAAGAUAUUUAUCUAAAUCAGAUGUAUUAUUUGGAGAAUUAUUUGUUGUCUUUUUUCGACUUUUCAACAUUUCUAGAGCUCCUUUAUAAAAAGAUGAGGAGUUUGUAGAUGUAGGUGGUAAUUUAAUAGUAUUAAUAUCAUUACCAUAUUUUUCUUUAUAAUAGUUAUAUAAAUUAUAUAAUAAUGAAUUUAUUUCAUUUUUAAUUUCUUCAAUUUUUAUUUGGUCAUUAAAAUAAAUAAUUGUUAACCAUUCAUCCAAAGCUUCAAAUUUCAAUCUAGGGUCCACAAUUAAAGCAAUAUAAAAAAUUAAAGGUAUUUCUCCCCAAUAUUUUCUAAAUUUUUAUAUCAUUACAAAUAUUGUAUCAUUAAAUAUUUCAAAACUUAAAUAUUUUUGAAGUACAAUAAAAAUAUUAGUUAUUUGCGUAAUAACUCGAUUUGAAGUUGGAUAAUAUACACCACAAAAAAUGUUUGUUGAAGUAUCAAAAAUUUCAAAAAGAUCUCUUAAAACAUCCGCAAUAUGCCAAUCAUAAUCAUUUAAUGCAUAAAUAUCUGCUUCAUAAUCAUUGUUAAUUAAUUGUAUUUCAUAUAAUUCGACUACUUUUCUAUAUUUUGUAAUAUUUUCUAAAAGUUUAUAUGUGGAAUUCCAUCUAAUAGCCAUAUCCAAAUUUAUAUUUUUUCUUUUCAUAUUUAACAUUUUGCAACAAUCAAAAAAUAAUUCAUGUUUUGCUUGAAAACUAUUAAUACUAUAUGCAAUGCCUCUAAUUUUUUUCCAAUGUACUAUCAACAUUUUUUAAUCCAUCCUUUACAAUUAAAUUUAAAAUAUGUGCACAACAACGCACAUGAAAUAUUUUAGCAUGAUCUUCUUUUACUUGCCAAUAUCGUUUUAGUCUAUGUAUUGCUGCAUCAUUAUUAGCAGCAUUAUCUAAUGUUAUUGUCAAUAUUUUAUCACGAAUGCCUAAAUCUAUAAUUUCAUCAUUUAUUAAAGAUGCUAUAUUUUUACCACUAUGUGGAGUAUUUAUUAAUUUAAAUAAAAUUAUUCUUUUAUUUAAUUUCCAUUCAUUAUCAAUGUAGUGAACAAUUAUAUAUAAAAAACCAGUAUGAGUUAAAGAUGUCCAAAUGUCAGAUGUUAAACGAAUAUUUCCUUCAAAAUUUGCAAAAUUUUUUUUUAAAAUUUCUUUUUGUGUAUAAAUUUUUUUCAUAAUAUCUCUUUUAACUGUAUUUCCAGAUCAACCUUUAAAUUGAGGAUUAAUACCUCGUUGAAUUGUUCUUGCAAAAUCAUGAGUUUCCAUCAUGUUGAAAGGUUGUUCUGCUCUUAUUAUAUAAUCAAUCAUUUCUUCACAACAGUUAGAUUCAUCAUAAGAAAAUGUUUUUAAAUUUCCACUUUCAUUUUUACUUAAUUGCAUAUAAUUUCUAAUAUCUACAUUAUUUUUAGUUUUACAAUUUUCAUGAUGUCUUUUUAAAUGACUUGUAUCUGCAUUUGAGCCACCAGUAAGAAAUUUAUUACAAAUUUUACAUUUUGCUUUUAUUUUUUUUUUAUUAUUUUCUAAAAUUAUUUCUAUUCUAUCAAAAAAAUUCCAUAUAUUUAAAGUAAAUUUUUUGUUUGAUGAUAUUUCAUCACAUGGACUAGACGAAGAAGCACUUGUCAUAUUAUAAUUAUUGAUAAAAUAUUAUGCCAAAAAUAAUAAAGUAAUAAAUAUAAAAAAAAAUGUAACAAAAAAAAUAAAGUAGUAGGGGUGAAGUAUGUUACUCAAUUAGAGAACCUAUGCAGAAAUUCCUAGCAAAUUUGAACUCUUGGAGCCACCAAUGCUUGUUUUGCACCAUCAACAAUAUUGUAUAAUUUGAGGGAAAAAUAAAAGAAUUUAAAAUAUUGUAGAAUGUGAGAGAAAUAGAGAGAAUUUGAUGAAAAAAUGAAAAGGAAGAAAAUGUAUUUAUAGGAAGGUUAAAAAUAAUAAUAAUAAUAAUAAUAAUAAUAAUAAUAAUAAUAAUAAUAAUAAUAAUAAUAAUAAUUGGCCAUGUGACCGUUGGAGGCUUAGCUCCAACGGUCACAUGGGCUGGAGCUAGGCUCCAACAGUCACAUGACCGUUGGAGCCUUUAAUUUUUUUUUUUAAAAUAAUAUACUUUAUUUUUAUAUAUAUAUAACUAACUCAAUUAAUAAACAUAAAAAGAAUAUAGUUCAGUUGGUUAGAACCUUGAAGUUUAAACAUGAGGGGAGGGGUUUGAAUCCCUCCCUCUCCCUUAGGGGCUUUUUUAAAAGCCAUUUUGGCUUAUUUCAAAAAGCCUGUCGGCCCGACCCGCCCUGCAGCCCGCGGGCCUAGCAUUUUAGCAUGGCCUGGUCUGUUGACUAGUCAAAUGGCUCAUAGGCUCGGCCCGAACUGGGCCGCGGGCCUCUUAUUUACGGACCGGCCCGACCCGGCCCGCCCGUUGGAGACCCUUGAUAAUAUCUUCUAUAUUAAGUUACAUUAUAGUUUAUUUUACAAUAUUAUUAUGAUAAUAUGUCUAAUUUUAAAAUAUAUUUAAUAUUAAAAUUAUGAUCUAUUUUAAUUUAAAUGUAUUCAAUGAUAUCAAAUAAAUAAUAAUAUAUGUAUAAUUCUUUUAUUAUUUAUAUUUAUUAUUUUUAAUAAAUAUAUAGAUUAUAUAAAAAAGACCGGAUAUAUCUUUUCAAAUUUUGUAUCGCUCUCCAAGGAUAUUAGAUGUAUGGGAAUUUGUAUUGCUAUCUACGGAUACGUUGAUAUAUGGGUGAUUUAUCAGGAUAAUUAGAAAUUCUAAUUAUGUAAGCAGGUACGGAGUUCUGUGUCGGUGCGAUCUUGUCGACAACAGCUCCAAAUUGUGCAUCUUGCUCAUAGAGAGUAGCGGAAUGCACCAAUCGUAGGCUCAGAGUACCACUGAGUCGUCUGGCAGAGACCCAACUGAAGGUGCCUGUGUUGUUCCUGAUCUGAUCAGGCUUCAAACUACAAGGUGGAAUACUGGUUCCCCUAUAUCAGAAGCUGGAGAUACCCACCCCAUAUGCUCGUCUGGAUGUGCUCCUACCCUUUGAAGCCUUCUUCCGAGUCAAGUCCGAAUUGAUAAGGCUAGUGAGUUCCCAACCAACUGUACUCAGCAUGCUGCCAGGUGGAGACCCUCCAUAUUUGAUGGCUUCCUAAUAUUAAAAUGCUGACCACUGGUCUUCAUGUUCCACAGGCUUAAUUGUGUCCUUUGCUGAAAGAAUGGAUAGUGAUCCAUUUUAACACAUGAUUCACGCCGUCUUUGCCAUUCUUCAUGGUCUAGCCCUUUUAUAUAUAUGCUUCCUGAACUGUUGCUAUUAAUAAAAUGUGGUAUCUAUCCCGUACACCUUCCUGAUGGCCAGCGAAUGCAGAAGCUACAGAAACGGUUCCAUCUUUUGCUUCCGCCACUUUGGCAUCCUCCAUGAUGAGAUCGAAGGUGAAUAAUCAUAUUCUGGGGAUUUAUGUCCUGGAUAUUCUCAGUAAUGCCCAAUUUCCUGGUGCCGGCCUCAUUUCCAUGGGAACUGAUGGAUAACUUAAGGCUUCUACCAUCUGCGUGGUUCGCUUCUAACACAGGAAACUUCACGGCUAAAAGCAAGAUACCAAGAACAUCAAGGCUGUGACAAAAAUUAGUAUUUUUAACUUGUAGGAAUUUGAAAGGCAACCAACCAUCUAGCUCUGUUCUUAAAGCUCCCAUAGGAGGAUCAGAGGCUGGAUUGCUCAAGAUGAACUCAUCCAUUGUUGCACUUAAAAAGAAUUGGCAUGAAUUGUGGCCGCUCUAAUAGGUUCCCUAAACCAUCAUCCAAGUGGGCUUGCGGAAGGUAGCGAGUUUAAAACACCUAGGGCGAUGAACAGUGGACUGUGAUGCUCACAAAAGAGAAAAGGAAGAAUUCAAUAAUUCCUAAGAAUCCAUUUGCCUGUCAUCCAAAUUUUUAUAUUCUCUUCAGUCUGACGCGUUAUGCCAUAUAUUAAAAAUAGCGGCUUCUUCCAAGCCGAGACAGACUGUGCAAAGUUCGCAAGGCCAAUCAUCACCAUAAUCUGAAGUUGGCCUCCUCAAUCGCAGCUUGUAUCCGAAUGCUCACUUCACGGGAUGGAUUGUAAUGAAAACUAAUCUCAGUCCCAGCUAUGGCAGCAUCCUCACUUGACAGCAUUUUCUGCAUAUUCUAGAACAAAGCAAUAAACCCUCAAAGGCUCCUUCGGAUCAGAGUUAGAAGACUGUCCCUCAGGAACGUGAACACUAUGGUGGUUCUGAUAAGCAGUGAUAUUGCAUUAGAGCCUUUUGGAACAAGAGGAUCUUUUCAGGUGGAAACUGUAAACUGCUUCAUGUUGGGCUGCAACCUUUUCUUCAAGCAAUACUUUCUUUCUGUAUCACGACUUAUGUUGCUUCCGGAGCCAUCCCGUGUGGACUGCCCUUCAGUGAAAGAAUAUGUGUGUUGACAUGUUGGAUUGUAAUCUUUGUUCCACUCUAAUGGCUUUUGGUCCUCCUCUUUCUCUUUAUGACAGAGAACCAUUUAGUGAUCCAUCUCUAUAUUGUAGCAUUGCUGGUGCUUUGCAAUACUACACUCUCACCAAGCAUAACAUCUAUUUUUCCGUGACCAAAGUAUGUCGGUUUAUGCAUGCGCAAACUCUUAUUCAUUGGCAAGUUGUCAAGCGUAUCUCAUGAUUUCCCAAAGCCACAAGUUCUUAUGGUCUUUCUGUUCAAGCUUACAAUGAUCUAUCUUUUCUUGGUUAUACUGAUGUCGAUUGGGCUAGUUGCCCUGAUAACAAGCACAAUACUAGUGGGUACAACACUUUUCCUGGUCCUAAUCUCAUUUCAUGGGCAUUUUCAAAGCAGAAGGUUGUGUCUCACUCCAAUAACGAAUCUGAAUAUAGGGGACUCACUAAUUAAUGUUGUUGCCAAGGUCACUUGGAUUGAAUCUGUCUUACGUGAGUUGCGUGUUUCUCUACCCCAACCACCAAUUUUGUUGUGUGACAACAUUAGUGCUACACACUUGGACAAACCAUGUUGAAAUACACUAUCAUUUUAUCCAUGAAAGGCUUAUGCAUCACACACUCAAAAUUCAAUACACCUCUUCUAUAGACCAACUAGUCAAUGCUAUGACCAAAGCUCUUCCUUCAUCUCACUUGUACAAUCUUCAGUGCAAGCUGAUUGUUCUUCCCAAACCACUCAACUUGAGGGGAGAUGUUAAGCCAAUUUAAUAAAUUGAUUUCUUUUGGUUAAUUUGUUAGAAUCAUUUUUAUUAGAGGUUUGUUUGUACAAUUACAUCCAUUUAUCAGGAGAGUACACGUGUACAACUCCUCUUUUAAUCUCACCAUUGUAUAUAUAUGAUACACGACCUUACUCAGAAUUGCAUAACAUUUCCUCUGCUCAUUCCUUUUCUUCUUUGAAUUUUCCCUUACCUCACUGAUUUUGAUUUAUACCUGGUGUUUUCACCUUUGGUCUCUACCUUUCUAGCCAGUUUUCUAAUUAAUCCGUAUAUGGUAUACCUGUCAACUAAUGAGGAGAAAGAGAAAAGGGGAUUGCUGUUCCACCAGCUACAUAUAAUAAUUAAUUACAAUCAUGGUAAUGGAUCCUGAAAUCCAUCCUUUGUGGAUUUUGUACGGAAUAUUGUUGUUAUGUAUGUGGGCUCACUUAGAUGUAUAUUGCUAGCCUGUCUGGGAAAUGUGAUUGCAGGUCCAGAUUAUGAUGUUGAUAUUAGUGGGAUAAGCAAGAGAUGCAGUUAACACGUAUGUGAUGGACUUGAGUAACUUUUCCAUUUCAGUCCAUUUUUUAAGAUUAUGCUUAGUCUUAUUACAAGGAAAGACCAUAAGAAUCAUGAGUCAUUGGCAAGGUAAUAUCAUUCCCUCUUUACAGGCUUCUUCACCUUUUGGUUUUUUUAAUAUCCAUCAAGAUCUUUUAAUUGGAGGACAAUUACAAGUAUAUAUAUAUGUAUUAAAAGGGGAAAAUAUUAAAACAGGAAAUUUUAGGGAAAAUAUAAUAAUUAUUUCUUCCUUCUUUCCCAUAUAGAACUACACAAAAUAAAACUUUAAUAAUUUUUUCUUAUCUUUUUUAUUAUUAUUUUUUCUUAGAAACAUCCGUGGUCUCACAAGCUUGUAAUCCUAGAUUGUUAGGCUCCUUUAACAGUGCCCCAACAUCGUGGUCCAAUGACAAGCUUCCACGCCUUAAAAUCAGAAAAUGCCAUUAAACUUUAUCAGACAUUACAGUUCAAGACAAAGCUUUCAUUUGCUUAAUGUGAUAAUGAAAUUGUUAAUUUCAUUUCGUGGGCAUCUAAAUUUGGACGAGCAAGACCUCUGAAUUCCCUGUUUUUAUCACCAGCAGAGGAGAUAAAAUCUUAAUGGUGAGAAUCUCCACGUGAAAUUUAUGUGUACUGUCAACAUAUUUUUGUUUAUAUAGUCCAGUAGCUGCAGGAAGUCUAGAUUAUAUAGGUAGCAGUAGCACUAUUUAUAGCACUCGAUAUUCGCUGUAUGAAUACAUUAAACCUUGUUUUCAAUACGCAUCACAAGCAAGUACUAGAUACUACAAGGAGUGACAGUCGCAUCAACAUUUCUUGAUAAUAGCAGUGACUGAUUUAUACACAGAACAGUACUGUACACGUACCAGUCACCAGAGAUAGGAUCUUAUUCCUACAUACGACUCUUAUUGAUCGAAGUCACUCAGUUGGGGUAGCCUGGAGUUGGAGGUUUGUGUGGUGGCUUCUUCUUUGGAGGAGGCUUUAUCUUUGGAGGCAUCAUCUUUGGAGGCAUCUUGUGUGAGUCUUCUUCAGCAUUCUCUACAGGAGGAUGGCCAGGCUUAUGACCCUUAGGUGGUUUGCCAACUGGGAUUGGUGGCUUGUGUCCUGAGAGUGGCUCCUCUUCUUCGGGAGGUUUGCCAACUGACGUUGGUGGCCCGUGUCCUGGGGGUGGCUUGUGUUUUGGGGGUGGUUUCACUCCACCGGGAGGUUUACCAAUUGGUGUUGGUGGUUUGUGCUCAAUCGGUGGCCUCUCAACUGGGGGGCGCUUGGGGUAAUCAGCGAGUGAAGAAGUGGUGAGAACCACCACUCCAAGCAACAACACUAGCAAGUAUGUGGAAGACAUCUUUGAGUUUGGCUCAGAUGGUGUAGAACUAGAAUCCUGGGUGGCCUUUUAUAUUAGUUGGGCCCUAUGCCCGAACGACAAGUGUCAUGGUGACACAUAAAGUGAUGGGGUCGAUUUGGGCCUACCGGAUUUGAAAACUUGGACAAUUCGAGAAGCGUCUCCUGACUCCGGGUUGUAAAGUGAAAGAUUAGGUAUCGACCAUUGAAGUAUGAUCACAACUUUUGGCCUUUGGCUCUCUCUACUGCCGUAUAGCUUUUUUCCUUUGGAUAUUUUUCUUAGCUAGACACAAUUAUUGAGCAGUCUAAUCUCGAAAUGGGAUUAGUAUAGCUUUAAGCAAAUUUAUUAUAGUUAGUGGAGGACUUUUAAGAGUGCAGACGACAUUUAACACAUGCAUGCAGUAGUAUAGGGGACAUAACACUAUUCUUUUUCCAAAGAUUCACAUGAUUUUUAUAUUAUAGUAUUGGCACAUUGUAUGUAGCUGGUUUUGUGGUUAAAAUUCCAUAUGUAGACACUGGCGUUUCUCCAUUUCUCACAAUUGAUGUUUACCUCCACGAUUACUAGAUUAGAUAUACCAAACAAUAACACAUUGUAUAAUCUAUCCGCCCUUCAAAAUCUACUGUAUGAUGAAAUGUUUCAUGUGUGUGUGAAGUGUUAGAAAUGCACUAUAGGCAACAUCAUCUUCUUUUGUCUAGGCUUGGGCCUCAAAUUAUACUCCCAUGCCAUGAUAAAUUUUCAUGUGCAUUCUCUAAAGAAGAGUGUCUUGAAUGUGCCAAAUCAUUUUGAUUGAUUUUAUGAUGUUAAUUGCUCCGCAUAUGGAUGGGUAUGUGCUUUAUUUGCUUAUUCAAUCCACAAUUACCUUGAACUGAAGUCCUAUUGGAGCUCUAUUAUUUUAGCAACGUCCUGUCAAAUAGGCUGCUAACUUGGGGUGGUAUGGACCCAAUGAUCCAUCUUAAUCUUGGGUUGAUUUUGUCUGACUCUAUCUAUCUCAGAGAGAACCAGGAUCACCAGUGCUGGUCUGCUUAAAGAAGACUCAGUACUGGAUUAAUAUUGGUUUGGGUCAAUAGCUUAUAAUGCAUUGAAUGCAGAAUAAACAAGAUCAAUGAAACCCAAAACACACUGCCCACACAACUUCACUCUGGUGUCUGUUAUUCAUCAAUUCUAUUCCCACAUGAACUGGUUCAAGUUUAAGAAAAUGACAACGGAUCCACUGUAUUAACUUGGUUUUGCUUGGUUUUGAGCUAGUUGCCAAACCAGCCAUGAGUUUUACCUCUAAUGUCAAUGAACAAACCCCAAAUGAACAACUGCAACAGCUUAAAGAGAAGGAAUGGAGAUGAAAAUCCCUGUUUCUUCUCAUUCUGGGGACAAAUUAGAACAUAACUACAAAGGUUCUAUUAAUUGACUUACUCUACCAUGAAUUAUGGUUCUUUGGUUUUCCAAAUUUAAAUUGUACAUGAGAUUAUUUUUUUCCUUUAUAUAUAAACAUAUUAAGGUUUUCUUAUUUCGUGGGCAAAUGCGCUAAGGAUGAAAGUCAUUUCAUUUGGCUGCAACAGCAUCUUAUAAUCAACAUGCAUAAGCAGCAGUUUUAAUUGAUCGAUUGAACACCGACUCACAAGAAUAGAUAGAAUGGUACAAGACAGCUCUUAUUAAUUUAUACUCGUUACUCAUUUUAUGUAGCCCCAUUAAGAUGGCUGGCUGGACCACCGAGGUCUGGGGGUGGUGUUGCUUGUGUGAUGCAGCGGGCCGGGCAGACACUUCUCUAGUUGCUUCUAUUUGGAGUUAGAGGAUCAGUCUCUGCCAACCUUGAGGACUCUCUACCUCAGAGGGUCCAGGUGGUGGACUCUGGUGUCGGUAGCUUUGAACUCUCAGUAGACUAGUGUGUCUUAAUCAGUCACUGCCAGAGGCUGGCGUAGGCAGUGACGAUAAGGUGAGACAAAUUACCGAAUAGUCAAUAUCGACUGCACUUGACCAUUAUAGAUUUGUUCUGACAAAAGUGAGAAAAGGGAGAAAAUCGGAUGUUGACCUUUAUAGAAAAAGAUAAGAUUUACUGCAACACAGAGCACUGAUUUGUUACUUGGAAACCAAGUUAUGCUAUUAGCUAGCCUCCAUUAGCAGCAGGGUACCUUGCUGCCUGAUCCUAAUCUGAGUUCCCAAGGUUUCAAUCUUCGUUUGUUAACGCUUCAGGAUUUGGAUAUUUCAGCUUCGUUUCUCCAUUUAGCCAACGCUGCCUGGUUUGGAUUUCAAUCCUCAUCUGGAACAUUCUUUUUUCGGUCUGAUUCAGGAAGUGUUUGGUGAUAGUUGAUUAAAAUUAAACAGUACUAUCAUACAAAUAAAGCUGAUCUAAUUUUGGUGGGCAAUAUACCAACUCAUUUAUUCUUGAAAACACCAUGGGGAAUUGGAGGUCCAUCCGAAGUACUAUUUGAUGGGACUCACAAAAAGAACAGGUGCACAUUUAUGAGAUCCGUGGAAGAGAUAACUAUGACAGCUAUGCAUGUACAACAGAUUUAUGUCGAGUUCACCUCGUAGAUAUUUUGUUUUCAGUGUCGGUGGACCCCAAAAUGGAAAUCGGAAAUUAAGGUUAUAUUUAUUUUUUUAUUUAAUUUUAAAUAGAAUUUUAAUUUUUAAUAAUAUUAAGUAUUAAAUUAUUUUUUUAAGGGUAUUUUAUUUUUAUUAAGUAUUAAAAAGUAAAAAAAAUUAAUAUGUUGCUUUUUUAUUUUAAAAAAAUUAUAUAUUUUAAUUUUUUCUAUUUACUAAAAAGUUUAUAAUAAAUUAUAAAAAAAUAAAAAAAUAAAAAACUUAAAUUCUGAAAAUAAAUUAUUUUUAAUAAAAAAAUCCAAAAAAGCAAACACCACCUAAAUUUGAGAUGACUCAAAAUUUUAUAUUUUUUUUCACCUAAAUUAUAUUCAUAAAUUUAAAAUUAAAAAAUUAGGAAGUUGAAUUUUAUUUUGGAUAAUUGGAAACUACAAGAAAUCAAUAAAAAUAUUUGGAAAAAAAAGAAAAAGAAAAACUAUCUAUAUAUUCACCCCCUUCUAAGAAACAUAACUUUAGUUUUUAACUAUUUUUUAAAAUAAUUUUUGAAAAAUGUUAUAUAAUAUUUUAUAAAACAAAAAAUCUGUUUGACAAUUUGAUAUGUCUUUAACUUAUUUUUAAUAUUUAUAUAUAUAUAUUUUAAAAAUAAUUUUAUAUUUAGAACUUUAUCUUUAAUUAUUAUAUAUAUUUAUAUAAUUAUUUUUUUUAAAACAACUCUUAAAAAAUAAGUGAAAGUAAUUGAAAACAACUCAAAGAUAUUUGAUGAAAACACUCUAAUUUGUAUUUUUGAGAAUAAAAAAAUAAAUAAAUAAAUUUCUAGUUAUCAAAUGUAUUUUUUAAUUCUUUUAUUCUAAAAAAUAGAAAAUCGUUUUUGAAAAUAAUUAUUAAACAACAUUCUUAAAAAUUCACUCGUUACAAUCUAGAUUUAAUGCAAGAAUGAUUGAAGGAGUCCUCCAAUAGAACCCAAAGUUAUAAACAUGAACAAGAAGCCCUAGAAACACCAAAGAUCUCAUAUGGUAUAUAUAUGAGCUUGAUUGAGAACUGUUUUAAAUUCAGUUUUUUUUUUUUUUUUUUUUUUUUGUUUUCAAAGUCAAAACAAGUUUACUUUUAAUUUUUACUUCUUUUUUUUAAUUUUAUAAAUAACAGUUUUUUAAUAAUUUAUUUUGAAAACAUGAUUAUUUUUAAAACUUAUAAUGAAAAUAGGAAUUUUUUUUUUAAUAUCAUGGUUAUUUUCCCUUCUUUUAAGGAGGGCUAUUUUAAAAAUAAAUUUACAAAUAUGAAAAAUGAUUCAAACUAAAGCAGUACAAAUAAAAAACAUUUUUAAGAAAUAUUUAAAAAUAGAGAAAAUUAUUUGAGAACAUUUGAAGUCCUUAAAUAGACUUUUGUUUUAGAAAAGGCAAGAUAAUUAUUUUUGAAAAUUGUUUUCAUAAUGAUAUGCAAAAACCUACGUAAAAACCAUAAUUAUAAUCGGCCACAUAUCAAAUCUACUAAAUAUGAAAAGUAAGUACAUAAUUAUAUUUGACUUAGAUGCAAGGAGGAAAAUGUCGCGAUAUUAUCGCCGAAAUAUCGUGUGUCGAAGGGUAUCGACACGAUUUUUCUUGCAGAAAUAUCGGCCAGUCGAUUUUUCGGGAUAAAUCUCGAGAAAUCGGCAAUUUAUCGCGAUAUAUCGGCGAUUUUUCCUCGAUAUAUCUUCUGGUCAACGCGGGUCAACGGAGUCAACACGCUACAGUGAAAGUCAAAUGUGCUACAAUGUCCCCGCUACAAUCACCUCCCCAAACAAAUUGCCAAAUUGCUUCCGAGGGGAUUUGAACCAGCCUUCUUGCCAUUUGGGCUAACUCGCCCUUAUGAUAUAUAUUGCAUUAAACAUAUAUAUACUUAAAGUCCUUAUAUAAAGAAAAUGUUAAAAAAAUAUUUUAAAGAGCAAAUUAAUUAUAAUUAUUUUAUAAUUAAAAGCAAAAUUUUCUUUUAAUUAAUUACCAAAAAUAUAAAAAUUAUAUAAUUUUCUUCAUAAUGUUUUUAAUAUCAUUAAUAAUUAAUUAAAUAUUAAAAAAUUAUAUAUAUAUAUAUAUAUAUAUAUAUAUAUAUUAUAAUUUAUUUUAUAUUGUUUAAUACAAUUGAAUUAAAUGGAUCAUAUUUUAAUAUUAAUAUAUAUUUUAAAAUUAGACAUAUUGUAAUCAAAUAUCAUAAUAUUAUAUGUAAUUUAAUAAUAAAUGUACACUUAUAAAAUUCAUAUUUUUAUCGAUGCAUACAAUAUUAUUAUCAAAUAUGAUAAAUCAUGUUAUACAUAUAUCAAAAUUUUCAAUAAAAUAACUUUAAAAUGUCUAUUAUACUUCUAAUUAUAUUAUUAUGAGGUUUUCUUUACAUUUUCAUGAGUUUUAAACAAUUUUAAGCACCAAUAUUUUUUUCCAAAAUAUCCACCGAUAUAUCUCCGAUAUAUCCAAUAUAUCUCCGAUAUCUCCGAUAUAUCCGUAAAAUCGAAGUACCGAUAUAUCCGUGAUUACCGAUAUUUUCAUCAUUGCUUAGAUGCAACCUUCUUCCAAAUGACAUACUUUAGUCAAUACUUAUAUUUUUUCGUUUCACUUCUUUGAUACAACACCUCAUGGAUUUAUUGUUUAAUUUAUUUGUAAUUAUAAAACUAUUUUUCAUUUUUAAUAAGACUUGAAUUAAUUUAAUAAAUAUUAUAUAAUUUGAAUUUAUAAUUCUUUUUAUAAAAUCAAAGUAUAUUAAAAAAAAAACAAUUUAUCCGAAGAAAGUUUUUUAUUUUUUAUUUUUUAAAACCGAUUUUAAAAAUAACUAGCUAGACACCCUUAUUUUGAUAAAAUACGAAAUAAAAGUGUAAAAACAACAUGGCCAAAUAGGGGCUUAAAUUUUAUUUUUAAAACAUUUUUUUACACUAAAGUGCAUUUUAAAAACACCAUCAAAACCAACUACAAGUUAUGCUUCUUCCCGUAAUAGAAAUAUUUUAGGCCAAAAUAGAACCUCCCCAAAUAAAGACCCUAUACUAAACUCCUUUUCAUUUUAUUAAUACAAAAGUGGGGAAAAAAGGUCUAUGCUCACCUAAAAAACAUGAAUAUUGUGAAUUCACCAUUUCUAUAAGGAAGUUGAAAACUUCAAAAUUUUAUCAACAAAUUCUCUAAAAUCCUCAAAAUAUAUAGGGCCUGUUUCACAAAGUUUUUUAAAAUUUGUUUUUAUAAAUUGCUUUUAAAAUAUAGAAUAAAUAACAGUUUUUUAGAUUUUUUGAAAAAUAAGAGUGUUUGGUAAGAUGUUUUUUUUUUUUUUUUUUUUUUUAAGAAUUAAAUAAAAAAUAAAAAAAUUGUUUAGAUAAAAGAAUUUGUAUUGUUUUUAAAAACAAUGUCUUACUUUUAUGUUAUAAAAAUUUUAUUAAUUUAAUUUAUAAUAAUAUGAAAUGAAAUUCAAGUUAAGUCUUAUUAAAAAAUACAAAUUAAAUCUAUAAUUAUGCAUGAGUUAAAGAUAAAUAUAUAUUUUUUAAAACUAUAAAAUAAAUUUUCUAUUAUAGUGAAACAAAAAUUACUAUAAAAUAAAAAUAAUUUUAAUAUUCAUUUUUAAUACAAGUCAAAUAAGUACUUUAAUUAAUUUUUUUUAUCAUGAUUUCUUAUGUUUUUUUUUUUUUCUAGAAAUUAUUUUAAGUAAUAUAACUAAUUUUUUUUUUAAUGUUUUAUAAAAAUAAGGAUAUUUGGCAAGUUGUUUUUAUAAAAGGAUUUUAAAAAUAAAUGGAUUUUUUUUUUUUUUAAAAAAAGAACAAAAUGAUUUGUUUGAAUAAAUUGUUUUGAUUUUGUAAAAACAUUUUAAAUUCAAUUUAUAUAAUAUUAAUUAAUUAAAUUAAAUUGAAGUUUUAUUGAAAAUAAAAAUAAUUUUGUAAUUAAAAUUAGAUUAAAAAAUAUAUAGGUUUUAAUAAAUCGUAAAUAGUAAUAUUAUAAUAAAAUUAUAAAUUAUAUUUUUAACAUAAAAUAUACUAUUUAUUACAUAUUAAAAAAAAUAUUUUAUUAUAUUAAUAAUUUUAUGGUAUUAAUGAGUUUAUUAUUUAAGUUUUAAAUUAUUUUUAAAAAUUAAUAAAUUUGUUAACAAAUGCAAUGUACUAAAUGUGGUUUAAUUUGGAGUUAAUUUGUUUAGGGAAAAAAAUAAAAAAUAAAAAUCUUAUGUAAAAGAGAAAUAAUAGAGUGUGUGUGUUUUUUUUUAUUAUUUUUAAAAAUCAGUAAAAAGAACUUUUACUUAUUGCCUAAAAAUUAUUCUCUAUUUUAUUUUAUUUUUUAAAUCUAGAAAUAGAUAACAAUAAUAAAAAAAAUUAAAAAAGAAAAAUGUUUUUUAAAACUCAGACUUAUAAUUGCUUUUGUUUCUCAUUCGCACCCCUGGAUUCCUGGAUUCUAAACACAAAAUUAAGUUGAAUCGUCCAUCUAUCUUGUAAGCCAAGAAUUCACAUAGAAGAAAUAAUCGGAAUUUGAUUUGAUAUCAGAUUUAGAGUGGCUCACUACUCAUGCAUUGUCCCACAAUAGUAAUGCUUUGGGCCGAGAUAAACCCAUUUGUGGGCCCAAAUAAAACCCCUGGUUUGAAAACAUCGAUUUUACAGUGGCCCAAAAGAUUAUCUAUGAGGGGAAGAUAACUUGGAAGUCAAGCAAACACAUUUAUCGCUAACUUUUCUCUAAUUAUAAAAUUAUAACUUGGUCUUCUACACGUCUCACUUAAGAGGCGGAGCCACUUGGCACUACCUUUCCAUAUUGUAAAAGGAGAAGAAGCAGAAGGAGAAGAUUCUUAUGCCAUUCCACACACCAUGGCUAGUACUGCUAUGCUGCUUGGCCCGCCGGCUCUCCGCCAUCCUAAUUCUCCCGCCGGCACUGUCUUUGAAGAUGGGGUCAUUCUAACGGAUUCCCUGAUCGUCCGCACCAGUAAUCUGGAGCUUUCUGAAAAACCGCCACUGGAAUCCCUGGCGUAGUGCUCUGUCAGUGGGGAUAUUGCUAUGGAUUGUUUGGAUUCCCAAGCCCACAAUCUUCAUCUUCCCGGGAAACCGCCGAUGGGCUUAACGGAAAACAAGUCUCCGACCUUUUUGUCUUCCGGGAACCCGUGCUUGGACUUCUUCUUCCAUGUGGUUCCCGAUACGUCGUCUGAUGAUCUGAUCCGACGGUUUGAGUUGGCUUGGGAAUUCAAUCCGCUGACGACGUUAAAACUGAUAUGCAACUUGAGAGAGGUGAGAGGCACCGGAAAAUCUGACAAAGAGGGUUUCUACACGGCGGUUCUCUGGCUCCACGACCACCAUCCCAAAACCCUAGCCUGCAAUGCUAGGGUGUUGGCCAGCUUCGGUUAUUUCAAGGAUUUUCUCGAGAUUCUCUACCGGCUUCUGGAGGGCCCUAAAAUUCGAAGAAUCGAAAAGAAAGACUGGCUGGAUCGAAAAGGAAGGAAGAAAAAUUCCCGGAAAAGGAACUCAAUAUUCAAGCGAGAAAAUAGGCCUGGAGUUGAAUUUCCUGUAGAAGAGAAGGAUGUGGAGUAUAUGGUGGAAGAAUUUGUGGAUAAAGAAAAGGCUAGGGUACUGAGAAAGGAGAGAGAACUUGCUCUUGCCAAAAGAGCCCUGCACAAGUAUUCUACUGAUUCUAAUUAUCAGUUCUUACAUGAUCAGAUUUCAGAUUUAUUUGCUGAACUUCUGAAAUCUGAUAUUCAGUAUUUAAACUCCGGUGAGCUUUACAAGAUUAGUCUCGCAUCCAAAUGGUGUCCCACAAUUGAUUCUUCUUAUGAUAAAUCCACCUUGAUAUGUGAAAAUAUUGCUCGAAAGGUUUAUUCUCGCGAGGAAUAUAUAUCCAGAAUACCAAGGAAUUGAGGAGGCUCACUAUGUUAAUAGAGUCAGGGAUAGGUUGAGAAAACAAGUACUUGUUCCAUUACGUAAGGCCCUGGAGUUGCCAGAGGUUUUCAUGUGUUCGAACCAGUGGGGAUCACUUCCCUACAACCGUGUGGCUUCAGUGGCCAUGAAAUCAUACAAGAGCCUCUUCUCAAAACAUGAUACAGAGCGGUUUGGUGUGUAUCUUGAGAAAGUGCAAACUGGGAAGGCUAAGAUUGCAGCUGGUGCAUUACUUCCCCAUGAGAUUAUAGCUUCAUUGAAUGAGGAGGAUGGCGAGAAAGUUGCAGAGCUUCAGUGGGCGAGAAUGGUGGAAGAUUUAUCAAAGAAUGGGAGGCUCACAAAUUGCAGUGCGGUAUGUGACGUAUCAGGAAGUAUGAGUGGAACUCCAAUGAAGGUGUGUGUGGCUCUGGGGCUGUUAGUUUCAGAGCUCAGUGAAGAUCCAUGGAAAGGUAAUGUAAUUACUUUCAGUGCAAGUCCUGAGCUUCACAAGAUCCAAGGAGACAGCCUUGUAUCCAAGACUGAAUUUGUGAGGAUGAUGGAAUGGGGUGCGAACACUGAUUUUCAGAAAGUUUUUGACAGAAUCUUACAAGUAGCAGUGGAGGGAAAUCUGAGUGAAGAUCAAAUGAUAAAGAGGGUUUUCGUUUUCACUGAUAUGGAGUUUGAUGAAGCUUGUGGGAGGUAUAACUAUUGUGAAUAUGACUAUGAUAUGGAGGAAAUUGAUGAGAGUCAGAAGGCAUCUCAGAAGUGGGAGACAGAUUAUGAAGUGAUACAGCGGAAAUUCCAGGACAAAGGAUAUGGAAAAGUUCCGGAGAUAGUGUUUUGGAACCUUAGAAACUCAUCAGAGACUCCAGUGAUGGCCACAGAGAACGGGGUGGCCUUAGUAAGCGGGUUUUCGAAGAAUCUGUUAGACCUUGUUUUUGGAAGGAGGUGGAAUUCUGACCCCUCAGGAUGUGAUGGAAUUAGCCAUCUCUGGUGAAGAUUACAAGAAACUUGUUCUAUUUGAUUAAGAUAUCAAGAGAUUUAUCAAUAAUAAUAUGUUUUUUUUUUUCUAUGUGAAAUACAUGUAAUAUUAACUAUGGAGUUAUCAAAGUUCUGGAAAUUUAAUUAUUUCUUCUUUUCAAGUUUUGUUUGUCUUUGUUAGGAAUUCCCCUUGGGCGGACCCAGCUGGGGACUUGGAUUGAGGAAGUAAGGAGGCGAAAUUGUGUUCUUCUAUGGACAGAGAAAAAAGAUAAAAAUAAAAAAUAAAAAAGGAGGUUAUUUGCAUUUGGAUGUCAUGUGGUUUCAGGGUACAACUACAAGUUCGAAAUUGUACAUAAUGUGAAAAUUCCUGUGUGGAGAACAGCAUAAAUAUGUAUCUCAGUGUGUUUUGUUUGAGCUAAUUGGCAAAUUCGCUUUAAACAUGGUCACAUGGAUGCAUAUUUAUUUGUGAAAUGAUAGUAGUCGAUUACUUGGUCAGUAAGGUUUGUAUCUCUAACUCCAACAUCUUAUUGUAGUCUUUUAAAAUGUCAAAAGUUUAAUGCUAGCUUGAGAAAUUUUGGAAUGGAGACAUUCUAAACAAAGUUAAUAAUCCAUGAGACUUGGUAAAACCGAUCAGAUGAUGCUUACGUACAUGAAUGCCUUCUUUAAGCCGUAUCCUAUUUUCAUUGAAUGAGACGUGCCAUCUAGUUUUGUUCUUGUCUUGAUUGGAUCAUGAUCCCGGGAAUUGAUUACUGUUCUGAAUUUGCGAAUGUUCAAGGUAUUAGAGAAAGUUAAUAUUAUCGUUAAUUUACAUAUUAGUAUUUAUCUAGUUAUUAUAUAUUAGUUUGAAUUAUAAUAUAAUAUAGAAUUUGAAUCAAGUUUACUAUUAGUUUGAAUUACAAUAGGAAAUAAAGUUUGAAUUAUAGUAUAACUCAAAUAUAUUUGUAUAUAAAUAUCCAUCUUUAUCAAUGAGAAUAGUAAACCAUAUUUUUCUCUAUCUUCUUCUUUCUCUAUAUAUAUGGUAUCAAAGCCUCCAAAUCCUAAACCUAGUCUCAACUUAGAGCAAAUUUAGGGUGCAGGGUUUAGGCCCCGCCUCCCCCAACCCUUACCACAAAUGGUAGUGACCUUGUUAUGCCUAUGUAUUGUCAAUGCCUCAUUUUCUAUGGUCUUCAAUACAAUAUCUAGUUUCAAUGUCUCUUUCCUUACUAUCUCCAAUGCAAUAUAUUGAUUUCAAUAUCUCUUUACAACCAAGAGCUCCAAAUUUUCCUGGUUCAAAUCUACCAUAAUUUUUAUUCUCCUUUGCUUUUUACCAAUAUUAGUUCCCCUAAUUUAAUAUAUAUCUCUUUAUUACCUUCAACUCUACCUCUCUCUUUCUUUAAAAGCUUCCUCAAAGAUUUGAUUGCUUUCUUGCAUGUUUUGGGAAAACAAACAUGCUCAUAUUCUAUUACCUCUACUUGAGAUCUGCCUUAUACUCUACCUUCUUCUUUACCUCCUAUAUCAUCUACUACAUUAGCUUCAAAAACAUUAUUUAGUUUGAUGCUAAAUAAGGCUCCUAAUCCUACCCUUCCUUCAACUAACUUUCUUUUACAAGUCCCUCAAAGUUUUUUUUUUUUUUUUUUUGGAAAUUUGGCUUAGAAAGAUUUCAUUACUCUUACCUAAUCUUUCAACCAUCAAGUCGAAUCCACUUAUCUCUUGAAUCCAAGGAGACUACCCUCCACAAAAACAAGGAGAUUGACCCCCACAAUAACAAAGAGAUUGUCCUCCAUAGAAACAAAGAGAGCUUCCUUCAUGGAAGCCGAAUACAUCGCAAUCUAUUUUCUUUCUCUCAAGAUCAAAUCUCCAAUCGGAGCUCCAUCUUGUGGGGAUAUAUUAGAAAAAGUUAAUAUUAUCCUUAAUUUACAUAUUAGUAUUUAUCUAUAUUAUAUAUUGAAUUAGAAUAGAAUAUAGAAUUUGAAUUAAGUUUACUAUUAGUUUAAAUUACAAUAGGAAAUAGAGUUUGAAUUAUAGUAGAACUCAAAUAUAUUUAUAUAUAAAUAUCCAUCAUUAUCAAUGAGAAUAGUAUUCCAUAUUUUUCUCUUUCCCUGAGGCUUCAGAAUGUGAUCUUGAACAUUUGAUCUUUUGGAUUCUUCUUGUUUCGGUGGUUUAAUAUAAUGGAAUGUUUAAUUAUAGCCUACUUUAUCACCAUGGAUGUGCUCCUGCAGAUUUCUUGAGGGUGAUGGUUAUUUUGUCAUGUUUCUUGAAUGGUUUGCAUCAGCUGCCUGAGCUGUUGUUGCUGGUCACUUUUGCAACCAGGGAAAGAAUCAUGGCUUUGGAGAAGCCAGCUUCUGUUUUUGUUGCCCAGCUGUUAGUUCACUAAGAUUGGGGGUCCUAACAUGUAUGUAUAAUCAUAAGCAAGGAAAUUUUAUGUCUUACGCUAGAUAGGUACCAUGAUAUGAUGUUUGAUUGAUUUAUUAACUCUACCUGUUUCAAAAGGCAUCAACAUUAAUUUUACCCUUUUAACACAUUGGAUUGUUUGACCUUACGAGAUUUUCUAUUUCUGUACUAUUUGAACUGCAAUCGUUAUGGUCCUUAGGUCUCUAAACCUUCGUUUAAAAUAAAAGUAAGGAGCACACAUAGUAAAAGUUAAUUUUGGGUAACUUUUAAAACAAAGAGAAAAGUAAAAGUUGUUUUUGAGAAAAACAUAUAGAAAUUGAAAGAUUUUUUAUUUUGAGAAAAAAAAGUCAUAGAAAAGAAAUAAUAUCCCCAUAUAAGUAGAUAUGAUCUAUCCGAAGUGUAGCUACUCUCCUGGAUUUAUUCUAACAUUUUAAAAUUUUUCUCAAUGGGCAAAGGAAUAUCAAAUCAAGCUUGAGUAGGAUUAAUUUCUUAAUUUUUAAAAUAACUUAUAAUUAAAAUUUUUUGGUGUUUUCUUUUUUGGACAAUUUUUUAUGAAGACUCUGAAUCAUGCAAGAGAUAUGGUUAUUUUAAAAAAAAAAAUAAUUUAAAACUCAAAUACAUAAUCAAUGUCACAAAUUUAUAAACAAAAGGUUUUUAAAAAAUACUAUUAUUUCCCCUCUACACAUAAUUUUACUUUUCCGAUUUAUUUAUUUUUGUUGGAAAACAGUCUUCAAAUCAAGUAAAAUUAAUAUGUUAAAUUUGUUAAACAAAUAAAUUUUAAAAUACAAUUUGGAACUCAAAAAUCAAUUCAAGUAAUGCUAAAAUUCAAAAAAUCAAAUUUGGAAUAAAAUGACUUUGUAAAUUUUUUUACUAAACAAAUGAAUUUUAAAUCAAGUGAGAUUUAAUACAUUGGAUUUUUAUGAGAAUAGUAAUUUUAAAAAUUAAUUUGGAACUCAAAAAUAGACACAAUAAAUACCAAAAAUCAAUGAACCAAAAUUGGUUUGGAAUAACUCCAUAAUUUUUUAUUUAUUUAUAUAUUUAUUUUUUUGUGCACACGAAUUUCUUACUAAGCAUAUUGCUUCCAAAUUGAGAAAAAUUUACUAUUUAGAUUUUUUUAAUGAGUUUAAUGGUAUUUAAAAAUAAUUCAAAAAUUCGAAAAUUGACUAAUUUAAUAUUAUAAAUUCAUAAACCAAGACUAAUUCAAAAUGCAUUGGGGGCUAAGGGGGUUGAAAUUAAUGCUCCAUUUGGUUGUGGCCACCAAUUGGCAAUGGCCACCAAUCAACCAAUCAAGGUGGCUAAGGGGGUUGAAAAUAGGGACAAUGGGGUGGGUUUGGGACAGGACACUCAUAUCCCAUUCCCAUCCCAAUUACACAGUUAUUUCCCAUCCUUAUUCCAAACUUGUGUUGGGGCAAGUUGAUUUGUUCCCAUCUUUGUUAACGAAAUGACUAAUAACCUCAUCCUCUCCUUGUCUUAGAUGUACAUUUUCUCAAAUUUGGUCAGGUAUGAUUGAUUCAAGCCCUAACCUUAAUUGGUAAUGAGUGGAUACCACACCUAAUUGCAUUCUUCUUUCGUUGCAAAAUAAUGAGAUUAUAAUAAUCUAGCAAAUAAGAAAAAAUAGUAUGGAAGUUCAAAUUAACACCAUAACUAUCAAUAAUUUUAAGCUUAUAGAUGACUUAAAUGAUUGAAAACUAAUGCAAAAUACUAAAAAAAAAAAAAAUCAUCUAAAGAAUUCACAAGAGAAUAGAACGAACAAAACCAAAUAGGAACAUGGGUCAACAUUAGUUACAGAUUUUGAUCCCUUUCAAGGCCAAUCUUUGAACCAAGACUUCAUCAAAUCUACUACUUCAAAGGCUUUUGUGUUCUUCUUGAGUUGUACUCUGGAACAAAGACUUCGAGGUGAUGCUUUAGAUGAUUGCAUUACACAUAUUUAGGGUAGGGAGAUUGGAGAAGCUUGAAGAUGCCAACGAUGGGUACAAUUGAGUGGUCAAUAAGAACAAUGUGGCCUAUGACUAGUUUGAUGUCAUGGUAUAGGAGUUUUGGGCAUUGAGGUGAAAGCAAGAGCAACAUGGAAUUGAUUUCAAAGUCUUUCAAUUAGUGUAAAGGAGGAAGAAGAAGUGGUAUUGAUCCUAGAAAUAGUGUUUUAGGUGUUGCAUUAGAGGAAAAGAAAAAGAAAAAGAAGGAACCAUUGGAAUUAGUACGAGUGUGAAGAGAGAAGUGUAUACAUAAGGGGAAGUAAAAGCAAAGUUCUAAAAAUUUAUUUUUUUAUUGGUGGUGUAUGGUUGCAUGAUUAUCCCUAUAAAUAAUAGGAGUUUUUUGGUGUUCUACUAGUAGUUGAAGGAUAAUUUCAUAAGAUAAUAUUUAGAGCGGGGUGGGGUGAGUUGUGACAAAAUCCAUACCCGUCCCAAACAUUGGUUCAGGUUUUUAAAAUAUUUUCAAACUUAUCAUAUACCCAAUUUUAUAUUUCAUACUUGUCCUAAUAGAGACAGGUUAGUCAGGGUUACUUGAGUAGCCUACAAAACUAUCAUCCCUAGUUGAAAUGCUCUUUUUGGCAGUGGCAGCUAGAAGCUCGAUCGAUUGACCUACAAGACUAGUUGUCAUCAUUUUAAAAAGAGUUUUGGCUUUGGUUGUGAGUGCAAUUGAAUCUAAACUAACAUUUCCUUAAUGCAUCUACUUCAAUCCUAAACUUCUUACUUAAGCCUCAAUUGUUGUUAAGAUUUUGGAAAACCCAUUUCCUUAAAUUGUAAAUUUAAGAAAAAAAAAAUUAAAAGUGAGACAUUUCUUGAUUGAAUGUUGUUAAAGGUCCCUUGGAAUUAAGACUUGGUUGAAGCCUUGGAAGAUUAGCAGAACUCUCAACUUAUGUUUGAACCUUGAGGAGAGUGGACGUAGGCCAAAAUUUUGUCAAACCAUUAUACAAAUUGAGUUUGAAUUCUCAUUUCUUGAUUUCUUAUUUAUUUGCUUUUUCUUAUUAUUACUUGAAUUGUCAUUUGCAUUCAUUAAUGUUAAAAUUGGUUAUAAUUAGCCAACACUAAUUCUCUUUCCCCUUCCCUUAAUUUCUUGGGUGUAAACCUAGGUUGGAUUAACUAGAUUUUAUCAAAUCUAUUAAGAUGGUAAAAGAAUAAUUAUUCUUAACAUACAUAAGAUCAUCUUCAAUCAAAUGACUCAUUGGCUGAUAUGUUGAAUUUGCUUAUUACUUGCAACUCAAAAUUGUGUUCUAGUUGAUAUGUCAAGUCCUGAGUGUAUGGACAUUAAAUUUGUAGUACGUGAUGAGUAUUUAGAUGGUCCAAUUCCAAGAAAGUGAUUGAAAACUAGUUCAAGAAAGGUGCAAAAGGGAAUUGUUUUGGUAUUUUCGUUUUUAUUCUUGAAGGUGGCAGAGCUAAAAUUUGAGAAAUCAAGCAAAACAUACUGAAAUUACAUUGAAAGAAAGAAAAUGGGAGUUAAUGUCUUGCAGUACAUGAUAAGGACUUCAUGCAUGUAGUGUGACCCAUGUCUUGGACUGAUGCCACACUCACGGUUACACUUAUACCCUUAGUUCUCUCUUUACUACCUUAGCUAACCUAGAUCAGGUUAUGAGAUAGGCACCUCACCACACCAUUACUUGCCCAUUAAUUAGUGACAUUUUCAAGCAAUGAGGUAACAUGGUGACACCAAGAGGGUAUAUUCCUCACCCCCAACAAGCCUAGACCUGGUCUAAAAAAAAUGGAGAAAAAUGACGUGUUGUUAUGCAGAAAUAUAGCAACCAUGCCUUCCUCAUUACUUAGAUUCAGAAUGUGAAGGUGAAAUUGAGAAACAGAAACUCUUGAAACCAAAAUGAAAAUUGAUACUUUUACGAAGAAUUACAACAACAUUAGAGGAAGACUACAUUCUUCCUCUUUAUUCCUACAUUUCUACACUACUUCUACUCCACUCCAUAUUUCUACAUACAUCUUUAAUCAGUCUUCCCUCCUUUAUAUAGAGCCAUCUUCACACAAAUUCCGCAAGGUAGAAAAGAGGAAUGAAACUUGGAGCAAGGUUCGACUACUGGCUGUAGCUUGUCAAGGCUGAAAGUGAACUUUUUUUCUUGGCUUUUCUGGGCAUAGGUAGUAACUUGUAGGUUCCUUUUUGGAAUGAAAAUGGUACGGCUAGAACAUGUGGCACUCUCUUGUUGGAUGAUGUGUCAAGCAUGUGGCAGCCAUCUAGUGGAGAUUAUGUCAAUUUUGGGAUGGAGAGUUGGCAUCCAAUUGCAAAGAAAUAUGACAUCUACCAACAUGCAAUGUCAACCUAUGUAGAUCAUAUGAAGAUAGAGAGGAAAAAUAUAGAAAUGGAUAUAUAACUAGAACUAGCUUUUUAUUAAAUGAGACGGAGAGCCAACAAUGAAGGAAAAUCAAAAUUUUUGGCUCAUAUCAAAGAAUUCACAUUGUGUUACCCUAGGUUUUCUUAAAACUUACUUUUAUGAUAAUAAAAAAUCAUUAUUGUUUAAUCCUUUGUUUUAAACGCAUGUUUAGCAGGUUGUAAAAUGUAAAUAUCUUUCGAAAUUCAAAUAUGAAGAUAUGACAUCAUUUCAAGCAAUAUAGUCUCUAGGAAUUAAUGUAAAGCUAAAUUAAGGUGCAAUUAAGUUAGUUCAAUGCAUUAUUUUAAGAAACUUGACCUAUCAAAACCUUGUCUUACUUCAAAGCCUCUUUUUCUUUUCUUCCAACUAACAUUUUAAUAAGUGAUCGCAAAAGUACAAAAUUAGAUGAAAUCCAUUUCAAUGGUUAAAAUGAUCAAAUUCAAACUUUUUCUAAGUAUCUUUUAAAAGCAUCAAUAUUGAAAGACAAUUUUAUAUUUAGUCAAAGCUUGGACAGAGCCAAAAAGCACACAAAAAUUUAUAUUUUCUAGCUCUCUACCUUGGAUGGUCUCUUGAUCCUACUUGGAGAUGUGCAUAAAUAAAAGGAUUUGAAAAUGACAAUUGACUAAGUAUGUAGUCAAUCAAUUACUCAUUGAUUGACUAGUUGAUCAAUUAACUUUGCAACAUCAUAUGCAAUCCUAAUAGCUAGUCAUCUAAUCAACUAGGUAGUAAAUCAAUAGGCCAAAAAUAUGUUUAUAAUGACUAUUUUGUACAAAAACCACUUAUAUAGUUAAAUAUAAUGCAUUUCAUUUAUAAAUCUUCUAAUUCUUGAAUAACAAUCCUAUCAUCCUUUGAAAGUUUUUAUUACACCUUUUCUACAUUUGUUCUAAAACUUAUACAUCACCCUUAAUUGUACCAUGAGAACCUAGCAUUUUUUUUUUUUUUUUUGUAUUUCAUCAAAGUUAGCUCUUGUACUCAUUGUUGUAUUAUUUUUAUUGUAACUUAGAGAGCGAGUGUUUUCAAGUGAGUGAAAUUGACUUGUAAAUAUUGUAAAGAUUCAUUGAUAUGUAUCUCAAACUAGGUGUACAAGUUGAAACAUUUGCUAGUAGAUUUUCUCAAGAUUUAGAAUGAGCUUAAGGCUAUCGAAUUAGGUGGGGUUGCGCCAAACCAUAUCACAUCGUUGUUUGCACCUUUUUUUUCACUCUCUUUUACUUAGUUGCUCUAUAUAUAUUGUCUAGCAAUAUCCUAAAGGCUUGAUGGGCUAGGGAGCAUCCCUCUGAAUGAAAAAUUUUCAUUCAAUUCUUAGUUGUAUUACGCAUAUAUAAAAUGCCUCAUUGUUUUAAUGGUAUUCAGUCGUGGCACCACAGAUAUGGACAUCUAAAUUUUAAAAGUUUGAAACUUUUAGCUAAAGAAAAUAUGGUGCUUUGCCUUUUUGGAAAGCAUGUUGAUGAAAUCCAUGAGAAUUGUAUACUUGGAGAGCAACAUCGAGAUAACUUUUUUUUUUUCUUUUUUUAUAAUGCAUUGUUUGUCCAAAUUCCGUACAAAUUAGGCCACCACAUGUUCAUAAUUCUCCCUUCUUGAAUUUGAAAACUCGGACAAUUUGACAAUGCGACACCUAAGUCCGGUUUUUAAAUGCUAAAGUGAAAGGGCAGGUAUGGACCAUUGAAAUGUGAUAACAACUUUUGGCCUUUUCCUUUUCUCUGUAGCCAUGUUGUCUCUUUUUAAUUUCUUUUGCAUGAUUUUCUUACCUAAACAGAAUCAUAGACUUGUUUAAUCUCUAAGUGGGAUUUCAUCCACCUUAAGCUACUGUAUUAUAUCUCGGUGGAGGACAACCGACAUAGAGCACAUGCAAGUGGGUAUAUGGGACAUGAAAUAUCUUCUUAUAAAGCUUGUUUUGCAGUUAAAUUAAUUGGAUAAGUAGACACUGGCGUUUCUAAAUUUCCCACCUAAGAUAAUGACCUUAUCCUUGACUGCUAGAUACACAAACAAUUAUACCUUCAAAAUCUACUGUGAAGUGCUUCAUGUAUGUGUGAAGUAUUAGAAAUUUCUUUCUUGGCAACUUGUUUUUUUCUUUGCGGUCUACUGAUAGGUUUGACUAAAAUUAUAUUCCCUGUCCUGCUAAUUAAUUUUCACGUGCAUGCUCAAAAGAAGAGUAUGACCUUAGUGCACCAAAAUCACUUUCAAUAAUUUGUGAUAAGUUUUUUUGCAUGACAUUAACCUUAUUCAUUUAGAUAAUGUUUAGUUCUCAUAAAUAUUAAGAAAAUGAAAAUAAAUAUUAAGAAAAAUAUUCUUAUAUUUGAUUGUAUUAUGAAAAAUAUCAUAAAAAAUCAAAUAUAAUUAAAAUUAAUUAAUAAUUUAUAUAUUUUAAAAUUAUUUAAUUUUUAUAUUAAAGAUAUAAUAUAAAUGAAAUGAGUUUUAAGUAUUAUAUAAAAAUGAUUUAUUUAUUUAUUUAUAUAUAUAUAUAUAUAUAUAUUUAGUUUUUCUCUUUAUUUUAUUUUCCUUAUGUUUUCCUCACAUUUUCCGGAAUCAAAGAUAGGGAAAUCCACAAUUACCUUCAACUGAGUAGAUUCUAUUGUUUUAGCAAUGUUAGGCUGCUAACUUGUGGUGGUACGAACCAAAUGAUCCAUGUUAAUCUUGGCUUGAUUUAAUUUGGCUCUAUCUCAGAGAACUCAAGGAUCACGUCAACUCUGGUUUCUACUAUUCAGGUCCAUUCCCAGAUGAACUGGUUCAAAUUUGAGAAAAUGGUAACAGACCUUUAGUGAUAUUGGUUUGGAGCCAGUUGCCAAACCUGCCCUGAGCUUUACCACUAAUGUCAAGGGACAAAGCCAUUUGAACAAAAACAAUAGCUUCAAGAGACUGAAUCGUGGAUGAAAUCUGAUCCACAUUUCUUCUCAUUUUGGGAAAAAAUGAGGACUUAACCACAAAGAUUCUACUGCCUCAUAGUGCUUUUCCUGAUCUAAGGUUGGCUCGUUUCCCAAAUUGUGAGGUGCACGUGCCACUCUCACGCUCAGGAGUGUAUCCACGUGGUGGACAUAAGAUGGUGGCUUAAUAUCUGGUGUCGGUGGCUUUACUUUACUAGGAGAGUAGUGUGUCUUCAUCUCAUUCACUGCCAGAGGGUGGCGUAAGCAGUGACGCUAAGGUGGGGCACAGUCAAUAUCAUUUGCAUUUGACCAUUAUAAUUUUCUCCCGGCUUUAAAGUAACCUUAUCGUGAUAAUGGAUUACUAGCACUAGUUCAGAUGACAGUCAUGUUAAAUUCGGACCAUGUUUGUGUCACAUUAUCAGCAACCAUGUGCUUGUGGUUCAUGCUAUCUGCAACUAAACUUGAUAUAUAACCAGGUGAACUUCAAUCUAAAUUCUGGAAGUACUCAUGUGAUAGAUGGUGCCUGUCUGCAGUGAGUGUAUCUAUAAGAGGGAAGGCUUGGCAAAUGUUCAGUUUUCUGGGAAUUCAACAGGGAUCUAAAAUAGAUUGUUUUCUUUGCUGAUUUCAAUGGUUGAAAUUUGAGAAGAUUGUGUCCACAUAACACAACUAUUACUGGUCCUUCUGUUGCAAUUUAUCCUCUAAGGCUCUAACAUGUCUUCCAAUUCCCACUUCCCACUUCCCUGUUACUCCAGGAAAGCUGUUUCUGUCAUUGUGAAGAAGAAAAGAGACUGUACAUAUCGAUGCUUUUAAGUGGACUGGAGAAUUCAUAUCAGGUGGUCUGCAGCCAUACAUGCCACUUUGUGAAGGUUGGAACAGUCAAUCACUAGGCUAUAUUAGUGGGGCCCAGCCACUUCAAUCAAGGACAAGUCUUCAUACUUAAAGUCAAAUUCUGCCUUUAGUCUCAUUAUAAAUUGCUGUUUAAAUAUCAAGCAAACAUUUGUUUAAUGCGAUUAAGACAGCACUAACUCAAUACUUGUUCUAUUUUUGGAUGCAAAUGCUUGAUAGUUUCAUCAUUGGAGGGGAUAAAGGUGCAUUCAUGAUUAUGAAUACUUGUAGUUAUAUUUUCAUUCUCUUUUUUCUCAAUGGGACUUGUUGGCACAAUUUUGCUGUUCAGAAACCUACCUCUCCAUGGAAAAUCAGUUGUGAUUGAUAUUACUGGAUAUAUUCAAGAAAGCUAAAUGUAGAUAGCACAAAAUAUUAUCGACAUAAAUAGCAUUAACAGCGUACGUAUGUCUCAAUGCUCAUCAGCUAUAAGCAAGGGGCAAACACUUACUAUGAGCAACUUACGUCAAAAUUCCGGAAUAGGACAUAGAAGUGACAGGUCAGUAAAUAUAGAACACUGCAUAUGAGUCACAAGAAAGGAAAUUACGGGUACAUAGCAGCUCUUAUUUUACAUCCUACUCAUACUGAUCAAAGUCACUCAGUUGGGAUGGGUGGGAGUGGGAGGUUUGUGGGGUGGCUUGUGCGGAGGAGUUGGCAGCUUCUUUCCAGGACCUGGUUGCUUCUCUGCUGGAGUUGAAGGAGGCUUAAUCUUCCGAGGUGGCUUGUAUGAGUCUUCAGCAUUCUCAGCAGGAGGGUGACCAGGGUUGUGACCACAAUGUGGUGGCUUCUCUCCCUUAGGUGGUUUGCCAACUGGGGUUGGUGGCUUGUGUUCCGGAAGUGGCUUCUCUUUGUGUUCAGGAGGUGGCUUCUCCACUGGAGGCUUGUGUUCAGGAGGUGGCUUCUCCACCGGAGGCUUGUGUUCAGGAGGUGGCUUCUCCACCGGAGGCUUGUGUUCAGGAGGUGGCUUCUCCACCGGAGGCUUAUGCUCUGGUGGUGGCUUCUCCACCGGAGGCUUAUGCUCUGGUGGUGGCUUCUCCACCGGAGGCUUAUGCAAUGGUGGUGGCUUCUCCACCGGAGGCUUGUGUUCAGGAGGUGGCUUCUCUACCGGAGGCUUAUGCUCUGGUG
rnacentral:lncRNA from 1 species